rnacentral:lncRNA from 1 species
AAGACAUUGAUAUCGAAGAUAAAUUCCUACAGUCCAUAGUGAAAGGUGAGGAAUUGAAGCAAUGUCAUUUAGAAUACAAAACCAACAUGGCGAUUCAAGAUAUCAUGUCCAAUAACAAAAUUUUUGGAGAAGUACAGAUUGAAAAUAAACCAUGUGACAUCGUUCUUAGCAGGAGGAAGACUAAACAAGCACAGAUAAUGGUACCAACCGUUCAAACAAGAUCCAUUGUGAACAUAAAACUGAAGAAAAACAAGACAAUUGCAACUCAAGGACAGCAUAUCUUCGGAUGUUGCCUGAUACCAGAUGGUAGAAUGGCGUUUACUUACUACUAUGAUCAUACAGUUAGAGUAUUUAGUGAUACAGGAUUAAAAGACUUCCAGGUGAACAUGCCAUGUAAAGUAGACGAUAUACUGUAUAUUAGUAAGGAUGAUACAUUAGCCGUAACAUCUGGUGGUUCACGUCAGCAUUGUAUUUUUAUUAUAAACGUGGGAAAAAAACAAAUCACGAGAACAAUUUUACAAGAUUCGGAAAUUGAUGGUAUAGCACUUAGAGAAAAUGAAUUAAUAUAUUCCGGUCAAAGUAAAGGAAUACAAAUGAUCAAUCUUUCCGACGAGUCAAUUACUCAAAUAGUCAAAGAUAAAAUGCCAGGUUUUUGUUACAUUGCAACAUUUCGGAACCAAAUAUAUCACACAAACCCGGAAACAUAUGCCGUUACUUGUUACGAUCAACAAGGUAAACCGCAAUGGACUUUCAAAAAUGAAAGCCUUCUGAAGGAGCCUCAUGGUAUUGAUGUAGAUAUUGAUGGCAAUGUGUAUGUGGCGGGUUCCUGGUCGAACAAUGUUGUAGUUGUCUCCCCUGACAGACAACACCAUCGAGAAGUAUUGACAGCAAGUGAUGGUCUAAUUUAUCCUAAUUCACUUUGUUAUGAUAAUACAAAGAAGAAGUUGCUAGUUGCUAACUAUUAUAAUGAGGCCCGACUGUAUGAUUUUAUUUGAAAAGUCUUUUUAAUUAUGUUUUAUCCUUAUUUUUGAUUCUGAUCGUUACAGCUAAACAGUUUUCGAUGUAAUGAUUUGUUUGACAAUAGAUAUAAAUUAUGUUAUGGAAUAUCUUGAUGUUUAAAAUAUGUUUUUAUUAGAUUUUUCAGAAACAAAAUACAUUAAACAGAACGAUUUUACAUGAUCCAUUCUCUAAAAAACUGUUGAUUUAUAAUUUACAAAGUUGCAAAAUAUUCAAGAUUCAGAAUUUUAUCUUCUAAAUUUUAACCUUAUUUUGGGCAAGAGAUAUGUUUCAAUAAUAAAAAAUAUUACAAUCAGAUAAUUUAUUUGUUAUAACUAUAUAUAUUAUCUUGCAUAUCUUACAUUAAUGUUAUAACAUGUAUAAUUUAUAUAAUGUUAACGAUUUUUUUUAUGUGUUGGCACAUACACUGUAUGUUCUGAUCAGAAAGUACAAAAGAAAUUUUGCCUUUUUCCAUUGAUUAUUGUAAAAAAAAAUACAUAAUAAUUUUAACGUCGAAGAAUGGUACCUGAUACAUCAAUUUUCUUUCUAUACUUUGAAUUUUUUGUAAAACUAAGUAUUUUCUUAUCUCAGGAAUAGAUUACCUUAGCGUUUGGCACAACUUUUUUGGAAUGUUGAAUCCUCAAUGCCCGUCAACUUCGUACUUGUUUGGUUUAUAAAUAUUUUGAAAUGAGCGUCACGUCUUACGUAGACGAAACGCGCGUCUGGCGUACUAAAUUAUAAUCCUGGUACCUUUGAUAACUAUAUACAUUAAUUUUCAAUCGACAAUCAUUGGAGUAAUUAUGCUAUAUUGCGAUCUAUUCAACCUUCGUAUUUAAAGUACCACGGGAAAUGUUUUCUUGGUUAGGCCAAGUGAAGUUAUUCAUUCUAAACAACCUAGAGAGGACCCACACACGCAGCUUAGAAUAAAUGUCUCUAUUCCUUGAACAGAUAUAGGUGCAUAUAUAUUUUUCCUCCCUUGCCUUUUGCCAAAACAAACACUCCUCUGUGGUGUUGAUUUACUGCAGGUAUGAUUUAUAAUUUACUAUAUAGAAAUGAAUCGAAUCUUUGAUUACAUGUUAUCACGUUUGCUUACUUCGAAUAAAGUUUUAUAGUAUGGAAAUAAAACAGUAUUGUUAGUACUCGCUGAACCUAACAGCAUAAUCAUAUUCGUGAAAAAUUUCAUCAGUAUGAAUAGGUAGUUCGUAAGGUACACAUUUAAAUUGUACGCCUGGUUUAUGUAAACAAGCUUCAACUACUUAUACGGUAUGAGUUGUGUUCAUUACCGCAGACAGCAUGGUGACUCCUUGCUGUUUAUAUUGAUAACUGUUUCUUUGUUGACUUAUGGGAAGUUUUCUCAUAAGCACUCAUACUAGUACCUCUCAUUAUUUUUAUCUUCAUAAUAACCAAAUGUUAUACUCAUAAACAUUAUGAGAAUUAUACACGGUCGUAACGUUACACAUUUAAAAUUGUGCGCUUGAUUGAUAUUAACAAGAUUCCACUUCUACUUGUGUUCAUCACUACAGACAUUAUGGUGACUUGUUGCUGUUUAUAUUGAUAAAUGUAAUAAUCAUAAACAUUAUGAGGUUAGUUAUGAUUACCAACGAAAUAACUAUCCGUUAGAGACCAAUUGUCGUUGAUGUUAGCAACUAUAUGUUACCUUACGGCUUUGAACAAUAAGCAAAAUUCAUACUAUAUAGUAAGCAAUGAAUGCCACGAAAUGACAAAUGUUAAACGAGAAAUUCAACGGUUCAUCUAAAAGGUAAAACAAAUAACGAAAAAGCAAUAUGACAACCAUAAAAUUACAGGUAACUGACUUUGGACAGGCACAAACAGAAUGUGGCAGGGUUAAAAUGUUUGUUAGCGUUCACCCCCUUACCUAGGACAGGGGAAUAAGAAUCAGCUGUAAAAUCCUAUUGGAAGGUGGUCGACUUGUUAGAUCGGCACAAUCAACAAAUGGAAGACCAACAAGACCAACGCACUUAUCAUGUUUUAAAAGAAAAAAAUCAAAUACAUUUUAUACAAAUGAUACAACACUACAGAAUGAACAGAUCUUGUAAAUGUUUUUUACACAGACAUUAGAUGUAUCAGUAUGAAUAAGUAUACAAUUCAAUAAACCGGCGACAACAGACAGAACAAGGUGAAAAAACUGUCUGCAAUACACAAGUUGAUAAACUACCUCUCAACAGCGAUAUCUUAGUUUAAACAUAUCUAUUUAUAAUGGAUUGGGAAACAAGUUUUGCAACAUAUAUUAAUCCCUUUCCACUUUGCGCAUGUGAUUGCUGCCUUGUAGCGGCAUUAGCCUAUUCUUUUUCGAAAUCUACAAGGGUGUCUUUCACGUGAAAGAGAUAUGACAAUCUCUGAACACGGGUAAUCUAUUUAUCGUCCCCUUCCUACGGACUAUCAUCGUUUCCGCAAGAACAUACGCAAAUGGUGUAAAAGGAGAGCCGAAAAUUCAGUUCCAGAAAUGUUAAUCCCGGAACGGGAAACGAUCUUCAGCAACCAUCUUUUAAUGUUAGAUAUUAAAUUUCAUAUUGACAGUGAAUCAGUCAUGUAUCGUUUUUGCUUUUCAUUUAGGAAUUUGAUGUUUAUUUUUGUAAAUUUAAUUGGGUGUAAAUGCGUACACCAAAGUACAUUUUGUAUGAAGAGUGGACGCGCUUUUUCUAAAAAUGUGCACAUGGAUAUCACUUUUACAACCCUAUUAAAUUAUUAAAAGAAGCAUUCAAUACUUAUAAUCACAUUAAUUGCUUGCUAGGAUCAGGAAAACACGAUUUUUAUCAAACGUUUCGUUUAUUUCCCUGUGCAUUUUAUUGUGGACACUUGUGUUAUCAUGAGUGUUGCAUUUCAGUUUGAAAUGAAGGUUAAUUUCAGAAUGACGCGAUAUUACUGUUACAAAAUCAAAAUAAUUAUUGAUGAUAUAAAACAUCACAGUUAUUUUUCUUUACAUAUAACUGUUUUGCUAAAUUGCUUUCUAGUUAGAUGAUGAAUUAUAUAUUAGUUCACUAAAUACGGCAGAUUUAGUUCAUUCAUAUAAUAAGACAGAAGGAAAGUAGUGUUUUGGGGGAAACAUCUGUCGAUCAAUAAGAUAUUGCUCAGAAGAUAUACAAUUCCAUACCCAUGAGAAAAGACAAACAAACAUUAAACAGAUACUUUGUUGCGCAAUAAAAAAGUACACAUUACCAGAUAUUAUACAUGUUGCAAGUCAGAAAUACAUCGGUGCCAAGCACCAGGUUUUCCCAGUGUGUUUAGUUUGGGUAAUUUUUCGACAGAAAGACAGGUGUGUAUUCAAGUUGACAAUUUUAUCGUGUAACUUGGGGUUUAAUAGUUUUUAUAUACUAUUAUCUUAAAAAUAAUGGAGAUUUAAAGGGUGUCCGUCUAAGAAACAGCAAACCAACUACAAAAAUAAUCAAUUUGAAACAAAUGUAAUAUAAAUGCUCAAGCAUCUACAUUUGUACUAUUAUCACCAACUUUUCAAUUCUACAUGGUCUUUUUUAUAUUUUUUAUAUUUUCUAUUUUUCUUAUUUUCUUAUUCUUUUUCAAAUGAAUUGAGAUUGGUUUUAUUUCAUUGCAAUCUACACGCUGACAAGUAUAUAUUGUACCAAUUCGGUUGUAUAUUUUACCUUGUUACUGCUUCGACACAUUUUACGAAGCUUUUGGUUUCGUUUGAUAUUUACACCAUAUUGAAAUUGUUUUUUCAACAGCUAUCGGUUCUGAUUAGUUGCCGUAUCAUAAUGUGACUGAUAUUCGAUUGGCUUUAAUGAGAUAUGAUAGAAUUUGGAAUAUGCUCCAAAUAUCCAAAUAGAAUAAGAUACAAUAUACUGUUUGGGCAUGCAAGACCAGACUAAUAUUAUUGCUUCGUUUUGAUGCAAUUUAUGAUACAGCGAAGUGUUCCGAGUUUUAAAAAUCAUUAGAUUUAGAUUAAUUUUAGCAUGCCAAGAAACGGUCUUCUAAAUAUACUCAAAAUACUUCAUCUUGUUUCAUACGCAUUUGAAAGAAAAAAAUUGAAAUAAAUUUCAUAUGUAAGGUGUUAACACACAAGUGUGUUUUGGAAAAUUAAUAUUCAAGCGACUAUUUUAAAUAUAAACAGGAUAAACACCAAAUAUUAUAGGUACCUUAACUAUGCUUUUUUAGAUCUAAGCAAAAGUUAUAUUCAUAGUUUGAAUGUUGUGCAUGCUCUUCAAAUUCAAUUCCUUGUAUAGUAUCAAAAUGUAAAAAACUUAAAUUCGGUUUAAAAUUCGAAUUUUUUUAAUUUUAAAAUAAUUACUCCAUUAGCCCACUUUUUACCGGUGAAAACAAGACAUAAAUCUAUACCUUGUACUAUGAUAUCGGCAAUAUUUUUUUUCCUUCCAUUUCGACUGUAUCCAUUGUUGCAGUUUCACUUUCACGUCUUCUUUUUCUCAUUGUUAAAUUAAAUACUGAUUGAAGUUGUUGGAAAAUCCCGUUCUCUGAACAAAGACAAAGUAUAAAAUGGACCUGGUAUUCGUUCGUCAUCUAUUAUAGUCAGACGAUCGGGGAGGGAUGUCUGGUACAUUUCGCCUUCUUGUCAGUCGUACUUAAUGGGUUUAUAAAUGACAAAGGAAAAAGUUCCGGUUGUUCUUUUGUUAAGUGAAAAAAAAAAAACAUUUUGAAAAUUGCACAUCUAUUUCUUUACUGUUUUUUUUCUUCAUAUUAUAUGAAAGGUUGACGUUUUAUCAUUUAGACUGAAGACCGGAACUAAAUCAAGCUGCGCAUGUCGACGUAAAGUCAACCUAAUGAAGCCAGUUUUAUAUUACAUUUGUACGUUUAUAUUAGUAAUUAUGAGUAGGAAAACAAAUAUAUCGAAGAAUUGAUUUGACGUUAUAGAAACAUUUUUAUUGUAUGCUUUUUACUUAUCAUGACUUUAAGGGGGUUCGCGGGUCUAAAUCAUUUAUAUAGGAUUUCUCUAUAUUUUUCUAUAAAUGAACUUUAUCUUAUAGUUAAUAGAAAAAUAAAAUAAAAAAGUGGGGUCACCGUUCAUUUGCGCUCACAAUCUGCCUUCGAAAGAAGCAUACAUUUUUGUAAUGGUGGUUUUUUUCUGUUGAAGUAAUAGGAGAAAUAAAGGUAAUAUCGAAGUAAAAAAAAGAAAUUUAUUACAGAAAUCGCUAAAAUUUUACAAUAAUUUAGUUUAAGUACAGCUUAUAUGGAAAUUAUAUUAAUAAAGAUAGGUCACCGAUGAGUUGAAAAAGAUAUUUCAAUUUUAGAGCCAAAAAAUGGCAUUUUUUCACCAAAGGGAGAUAAUUUGGAACUUUUUCAAUGAUGUAUACAUUUUGAAAGUCAUCUGGGGCCAACACGAAUUGAUUGUUUUGAAUGAUUUUUGUACCAUAUGAUAAAGUAACAACUACAAUAGGAAAUAAAUAAAAUUUGUAAUGAAAAACAAAUGUUUGAUUUUUUUCUGAAAUUUGUAUACCCUCGAGCCUCCUUAAUGCACAAAAAAUAUAAAAUUUGGCUGCAUAAAGGGGAAUGAUCCUUUGUUCCGUUUUUUUUUUGUAUCGAAAUUUGAAAUUCAGCAGCAGUUAUAGAGGAGUGCGUACGGCCUUUGUUUCAUUAAUUGCCUUGCCCAACUAACAUGAUUAUUUAUAGACAGUGUCGAAAAUUGUUCAACGAUGAGGUGGAAAAUAUGUUUCGAUUAUAUUGACAAAUAAAAAGGGAAAAUCCGGACUCCAAGAAAAAUUCAAAUAGGGCAGCUUCUUAUCAAAAGACAAAAAUCAAAAACAAAUGUUCAAAUCUAUCAAACAAAUGGAAAGCAACUGUGAUACUAAAAUGAUUCUAAAAUAGAAAACUGAACCCUUAAUAAUAUUUAACAUGUUUUGUCAUAGGCUAGCAUAAAUAUAUACUUAUUAUCAUUAUUGUAAAUAGUAAAUAGUAAAUCACAUUUAUGAUAUACAUUUUUUCGUGACAAAUCAAAUCAAUUCUAUGCUAAAAAAUUUACUCAGGACAAACAUUUCUUGUAACAACUGACACUAAAAAAUUUCCUAAGUUUCUAAAAAAAUAAAAAUAACAUUUUAGAAUCCAAAAAAUCUGAUCCCCAAUUUGAUUGCGAAAAAAACUAUUGUGGUCAAGCAGAUGACUAGAAAAUGUAUUCUGAAUCCAGAUUUUCCAAAAUUCUUCUGACUCAGUCAAAAAAAACCUCCUGAAGUUGAAGGGUUGCUCCCUAAUGUAGACCAAGAGCGGUUAAUUAAUAUAAAACGCUAAUCCAGGACUCACUAUCACAAUCAAUCAGACAAUCACUGGGAUUAACAUGCUCCGGAAAUACACGAUAAAAGAUUAAAAUAAUAUCACAUCUGGCAGAAAAACUGACCACUCUAAUACCCGACUAGGAUGGUAUAGAAAUAUGGUCAUCAUCGGGAUGCAUAAAUACACAUGCACGCAGCCACGUGAUAUCAUGCCUUGCGUAGAGAGAUUGCCACAUUCUGCAUAUUAAAAACCCUAACAAUAACUCAUUCUCUAUUUCAUAAGUAUUAUUACUUUUUCUGAUUUUUGUUAUCUGAAUUCUCUGACUCAUGCUCCCUAAAGACAGAAAUGUCCUCUUAAAAAGACUAUAUAUGUUCUGGUUUUAUUUACAAGUGGCAUAUUUUUAUGUCAUCGUUUAAAGAUAAAUACCUAAUUGAUUGUACGUGUGUUUAAACCAAUUUAAAAUAAAAAUUUUAAAACUAGGCAUAAUAUUUUAAAAUUCGAGAUAAAGAACGGAUAUACAAAGUAUACUAAAUCACACUUACAUACAGUAAACGUGUGUCAAUGAAUAAAGUGUACUGAGUUAAUUGAACUUUAUUUUUGUAAAUACAAUUUUAAGUAACCAGCUUUUUUCUCCUGCCAGUUGAUUAUGUUCUUUGAUUCAUAUUACGUUCAUAAGAAAAUACAGUAUAAAUUUUCUUUAAGGAGAAUUAGUAAGAGAAGCUAAAUAACCAGAUUUACAUAGAAGUGUAGUAUAUAAAAUGAUGAAACAGUGAAAAUGGUUGACACAAACGUAUUGUACAUACUCAAAUUGGUACAAUUUUGUUUUAUCAAAUACUUCUAUAGUACAAGCAUGCGGAUCUUUGGGUGGAUAUUUGUUUUGUAUUCCUUAAUUCAAUUGCAACAUCUCUAUUCUGAAUUGUUUACGUAUUAUUUUCUGUUCUCUAUGUUUUAACAUCUCAUGGUGUGGUUUUUUUUUUUUUUUGCUUUUAUCUUUUGUCUAUUUUUCCUCUUUUUGUUAAGCCUACGCGACUUUGGGGUUCAUAAAGUGGGAAUCACAUGAGAACCUCGAAACAAAAAACAAAGGAAAAGAAAAGUAGCGAAUUUCAUAUAAAAAAAUUGACCAAAAAUAAAUAAAACGAACAUAAAAAUGAAUCAAAUUAUUUUAUCAUGAUAAAGAAAUCUUUGAUCUUUUGUAUUCAUUUACUUUUUUAAAUGAGCGGAUUAUUUGAUGUUUCCCUAAAAUCAAAGUUAUGUCUGCUUACCCUUCCGGAGCACCUGAGAUCACCCCUAGUUUUUUGGUGGGGUUCGUGUUGUUUAUUCUUUAGUUUUCUAUGUUGUGUCGUGUGUGCUGUUGUUUGUUUGUCUUUUUCAUUUUUAGCCAUGGCGUUGUCAGUUUGUUUUAGAUUUAUGAGUUUGACUGUGCCUUUGGUAUCUUUCGUCCCUCUUUUAUCAUACCAUCUGAUGUUUAUCUUUAUCUGAUGUUGCACAGCAACGUAUCAUUGAAAGUGAGGUAGCUUUUAAAACUUUGGAAAAAAACCUUAUAAUCCUUUAAUACCAAAAGCACAAGGUGUUCUGAUGCGAUAUUCUGAAAAAAAAAAUCCUAUCGAUUUCAUUAAGACUUUAGCUAGUGUAUAUUAAAGCGAUUAUUUAUAUGAAGUCUUUACACGUAUAACGUUUGAGUAUGUGGGAUAUACAAAUAUGCAGCCACAUACGAAAUGAACUCAUUUUAAGUAGCUCUCAUAUUAUUGUCCUUCAUCCCAGUCGAUCUACCUGCAGAACCUAGCUUUGGAAUUUAAAAAUAUUUGUCACUGGGCGUUAAGCAACCUACAAUCGACCUAGUGUAUACAUAAAGCAUUUAUAUGGAUUCUUUACAUGUAUAUCAUCUGUUUUGUAAACCAAAAUAAUAUUAAAACGAAUCCAAUCUUAUAAUCAAAUCACUUGUCGUUUUCUGUCCAUGGUUUAAUAUCAGUUUUAAGGCUUGUCGUGUAAUCAUGACAUAUUUUUACCAACUUCAAUCAUACUUCAUCCACAAAGGUUGUUAAUGGUAUAUAAUUGAAUUAUAAAUGUAUCCUUUGGACUACUUUUGUUCGGCAGUCUUGCUUAAACGGGACAUACGUUUGAGAAUGCGGGAUGUACAAAUAUGCAGCCACCUUGUUCCGAAUUGGAACGUGUUAAAUGAUGCCGUAUCAAGGGAGUGUGUCAAUGAACCCUUACAACAACUUCUUUCUGGUAUCAUACAUGUCCCAAAGGAAGGCUCUGUUUCAUAUACGAAAUCACUCAUUAUAAGUAGCUCUCGAAAUUAUUGUCCUUCAUCCAAGUCGAUCUACCUUUGCAGAAUCUAGCUUUUGAAUCUAAAAUAUGUUUGUCGCUUGGAGUUAAGCAACCUACAAUCAAUUCAGAAUAUCUUGCCGUUGUGAUAAUCAGCACUUUUUGGUUUACACAGAUUCAUAUACAAGAUAUUAAGAAUAUGAGAAGAGCAUAAGUUAAAGACCAAAAUAAGCUAAAAAUAUUGAUAAGUAAUAAGCUCUUUUCAAGAUAUUUUUUUUUUCUUCUUCUACAUGUUCUAUUGACAUGAAAAGGCUUACUCGGACUUUUAUCCUAUAUUUGCAUUGGGUUUUUUAUGUCUCAGAUCGAGAAAAAAUCAGAAUCUUCUUAAAUUAUGGUAGAUGACCUUGAAUUUUGGAUCCUCAAUGCUCUUCAACUUUGUACCUGUUUAGCUUUAUACAUAUUUUGAUAUGAGUGUCACUGAUGAGUCUUAUGUAGACUAAACGCGCGUCUGGCGUACUAAAUUAUAAUCCUGGUACCUUUGAUAACUGUUUUAUCCUUUAUUAGAUUGGUGUAAUGUUCUCUGAAAAUCAAAACUGUACUUUUUAUCUAUCACAGUGAACUUAUUAAACAUGAUAAACAAGGACAUCCUUUACACAUCUGAAUCAUAUUUGGACCAAUUAGGGGAACAGAAGUUAAACCAAGGUAGCCAAGUAAGUUCGUUACUUAUUCAAUACUUAUUCCUUAUUCGUUACUUAUUCAAUUUUUAAUUUCUUUCCCCUUUUUAAUUCCUAUUUUUUUUUAAUCUCUGGUAAUAGUUCUUAUUUUGUUGAGGCGAAAGUACCCUUUUAACACGUAUAUAUCUGUUUUUGUGCUCAACCGAUCCUGUUAACAUGUUCCUGAUUUCAAUACGUUCUGCCUUUUUACUACUUUAUGUUCGUAUGUAUGGAGCUGUUUCUUGGUUAGAAGAGAUGAAAUAACCAGAAUAGCGGAUGAGAAUCGUUUCGGAGCUACAGUAAAACCGUGUUUCUAAUUCGUUCCUUAUUCGCUUAUAAUACGUUUGUUUUAUGUUGUACCUUUAAAAAACAGAUUUUCUUUUUUUUCUUGUCUCUGGUAGUAACUAUCGGUUUUUAGAGGUAAAACGACAUUUUAACGAGUAACGAAGCCGUUUCAGUGCUCGACUGAUACCCUGUUACGUAUUCGUUGUUACUUAUUCAUGUUAUUCGCUAUUAAUACGUUUGUUAUACGUUGCGCCUUUUAAAGAUUUUCAAUUUUAUUUCUUGUCGAACUAUGGGUUCUAAUUGAUAACAAAACCUAUUAACGUAUAUGUUCUCGUUUCCGCGCUCGACUGAUAUCCUGUUACUUAUUCGCUUAUAACAUGUAUAAUACUUGUGUUAUAUGUUGCACCUACUAGGGUAAUUUCUUCUCUGAAAACCAAUAAUUACCACCAGAGACGCGAAAAAAAAUGAAAAUCUUUGAAAGGUGGAAAGUAUAACAAACGUAUUUGUUUAUGUGUUACAUAUAUUUUUUUUUAUAUGUAAAUAAGGCCGUAAGUUUUCUCGUUUGAAUUGUUUUACAUUGUCUUAUCGGGGCCUUUUAUAGCUGACUAUGUGGUAUGGGCUUUGCUCAUUGUUGAAGGCCGUACGAUGACCUAUAGUUGUUAAUGUCUUUGUCAUUUUGGUCUCUUGUGGACAGUUGUCUCAUUGGCAAUCAUACCACAUCUUCUUUUUUAUAUGUAUUACAAGCGAAUAAGUGACGAUUAAGUAAUAGGGUAUCAGUCGAGCGCUGAAACGGUUAACUAAGCGCUUAUAGGGUUAUUUCGUCUUUGAGAAGCGAUAGUUACCACCAGAGACAAGAACAUAAUUGAAUUUAUUUUAAAGGUGCACCGUGUAAUAAGCGUAUUAUAAAUAGAGGGUUGUUUCACCUUUAAGAACCCAUAGUUACCAACAACGACAAUACAUAAAAUUGGAAAGAUUUUUUUAAAAGGUUCAACGUUUAACACAUCUAUUAUAAGCGAAUAAGGAACGAUUAAAAAAAACAAGGUAUUAGUCUACCUCCGAAACGUUGUACACACGCUAAUAGGGUUAUUUCACCAUUUCGAACCAAGAAUCAUCUCCAGACAUACGAAUAUAAACCAGUUAAAGGGUAAAACGUAUUAGAAUCGAAUAAGGAACAUAUAAGUAUCGAAUAUUAAGUAACAGGAUCGGUAGAGCACAAAUGCGGAAACAUAUGUGUUUAAAGGUUAAUUUUACUUCUACAAAUUAAGAUCUAUUACCAGAGAUAAAUCUAGAAUAUAAAGAAUUAAAAAGGGGAAAGAUGUUAAAAAAUUAAUAAAUAACGAAUAAGGAAUUAGUAAUUAGUAAUGAAUAGGUAACGACUAAGGAAUAUGGAAUAAGUAACAAAUAAGGAAUAAGGAAUAAGUAACAAAUAAGGAAUAAGUAACAAAUAAGGAAUAAGGAAUAAGUAACAAAUAAGGAAUAAGGAAUAAGUAACAAAUAACAAAUAAGGAAUAAGGAAUAAGUAACCAACUUGACAACCCUAGUAAACCAAUGUUAAAUGUAAUAUUAUGAAUAUCACUGUUGAUUUUAUCAUAGUUGUCAUUCCCAUGGACAGUCACUUGACAUUGAAAUCUUAUUAUAUUAUCAAGUGUUGGAAUAGAUAUAGGAAGUCUUUUAGUGAUGUUUUCCGCUCCUUAAUAUCAGUGGCAAGUGUAUAUGGAGUUUAAAUUUGCAUCUUCUUAACUACGUAAGUAGUUGGGUAAACUUUAAUCAGUUUACGUUAAAUACAACAUUCGGACAAUUCUAUUAUACCUUUAACUGCCAGAACGGUCGAUAAGUCAUCUUUUAAUAUCAUGCCAUCGCAAUCACACAGGCAACUGUCAACUAUGUUUGAGAGUAACAUUUAUAAAUCAAUUUACCUGGCUGGCUACUACACAGAGCGCACUGCAAAUACAAGCGGAUUCAAGUUUAAAAAUCUAUUAACCUGGUUCUCUGCUGACUUCUACUCCUUGUUCAGAGCUUACGGCAAAUACAAGCGUAUUCCAGGUUAUAAAUCCAUUAAAAGAGGGACGAAAGAUACCAAAGGGACAGUCAAACACAUAAAUCUAAAACAAACUGACAACGCCAUAGCUAAAAAUGAAAAAGACAAACAGAAAAACAGUAGUAAACAUGACACAACAUAGAAAACUAAAGAAUAAACAACAAGAACCCCACCAAAGACUAGGGGUGAUCUCAGGUGCUCCGGAAGGGUAAGCAGAUCCUGAUCCACAUGUGGCACCCGUCGUGUUGCUUACGUGAUUACAAAUCUGGUAAAUAGUCUAAUUCGGUAGGUCACAUUCAUGAAAGGGAAGGGGAUUGUAGUUACGACGUAAGGAACAUAUCCGAUAAUCAUUUGUGAACGGUUAUUCCAUAACGGUCAACCAACUCGUGAUGGCGUCCGUAAAAUUUACGAAGGGAUGAUUUCAACUUCACCAUUUGGAACUCUUGGUUUAAUAGCUUCCUUGUGAGCAGCAACCCUCUAUCAAGAAAAUCAUGAUAAGAAAUGCAAGCACGGGAAUAUCGUAUCAAUUGGGAGAUAUAUACCCCGUAUGCAGGUGCUGCUGGAAUGUUGCUACUUAGAAAUGGAAAGUUUAUAUAUAGCUAGUGAGACAAAAAGAUGUUUAAGAACAUAAAUUCCACUAUUUGUUUUUAUAUUUUAAUUUUACUGACAUCGGAUAAUUAUAUAUAUUGUAUCAAAAGUAAUAAUGAACACAAAAACAACAAAUCAACAGCUGGCAAUGGCCGCAUAAUCUUCACAAAUGAUUAGGUAGUAAAUGAAUUCCUUUGAGCUUGACAUUGAUUAUUUUCGGAUGUAAUGGUGUCUGACAUUGUGGUCAUAAGAUAUAUAUAUAUAUAAUUGAAGAUAAUUUUUGGGUUGAUGUUUAGACGAGUUGUAUAUACAUAAUGUACACAGCCAUGUAUCACCAUCACUGCUGGUGAUCCGAUGGAUAAAUCUGUUAUAGAGUUGUCACUGGCUCAGAUGUACUUAUGAAUAUAAUUAUUUUCUGUGACUGUAUCUUACAUUAAUUUGUAGGAUCCUUUUCUAUAGAUAAUUUAGCUGAUCUGUAAGAAUAACAUCUUCAUGCCUUAUAUAUCAUGUACUGUAGUACGACGCUAGAUUAAAACUGACAUGGAAAGGUAACACCCGGCCACCGAAAGCUUCAUUUUGAAGCCCAGUCUAGCGGGACGGCUACAGUGGCGAUUUUGGUCACGAUAUCAGUAGCAUGGGUUCGAAUCCCGGCGAGGGAAGAACAAAAUUUGCGAAGCAAAUUCACAGAUCUAACAUUGUUGGGUUGAUGUUUAGACAUAUAGAAAAGACAUGAAACAAUGGCGACCGAUUAGUCUACUAUGUGUUGAUUACAAAAUUCUUACCAAAUUCUUAAGUAAAAACUUGUCAAAAAUAUUAAACAAAUUAUUAGAUAAAAAUCAAACAGGUGCACCGAGAAAAGUUAAUAUCAGACAAUCUUUUAUCUAUAGAAAGUAUAUUGGAGUAUAUGGACUUGAAUGGCAUAAGUGAUAUCGUUUAAAUUUCAUUUGACCAGGAAAAGGCUUUUGAUCGGGUGGAGCAUGAAUUUAUCAUACAAGUGUUAAGAGCGAUGAAUUUUCCGUCAAACUUUAUAAGAUGGAUUGAAAUCAUUUACACUAACAUAUCAAGUAAGGUUAUUAUAAAUGGAGCACUUAGUGACAAGAUUGAAAUUACAAGAUCCAUAAGACAAGGAUGCCCAAUAAGUAUGAGUAUCUAUGCUGUCAUAAUAGAAGCAUUAGCCUGUAAAGUUCGCAGAAACAAUAAUAUACAGGGAAUACAAAUUCCUAAUCAUAACACAAAUGUAAAACUUUUUCAACACGCAGAUGACUGUUCUAUUAUAUCGACGAAUCUAACUAAACAAUUUGGUUUGGUAUCUGGCUCGAAAAUUAAUGAAAACAAAACCGAAAUUUUAAAAAUUGGAAAUCCUAAUACAAAAACUUUGGCAGUAUAAACAAACAAACUAAUCAAAGACGAAAUUAAAGUCCUUGGAAAAAGAAAAUAAAAUUUAUGGACUGAUACAACAGAUAGACAAAUGGAAAAAAAAAGAAAAUUCCGAUAUAAACAUAAAGUUUUAGUUCUAAACACUUAUAUAAUUAGUAAAUUCUUGUAUACUGCAAGAAUAUAUCCACCUAGUGAAUUUUAUAUAAAGAAAAUAAAUAAAGUGAUUUAUGAUUUUUUCUGGGACAACAUUGAGCUGUUAAACAGAACAACAAUUACCAAACAAUAUAAAGAUGGUGGACAACAAGUUCCAGACAUCAAAAUGAAAUGUGAAGCCUUACUUUUAUACAGAAUAUCUCAAGUUUUAACUGGAAAUUCAUCUGUAUGGACAUCAUUAUUCAUUUAUUUCAUAGGAAUCACUACAAGAGCCAUACUUCCAAAAUUAGCAGAAAAUAUGUAUAGACAUUCUGUGGUCACUAUAGGGCAAUAUGAAAGAUUAAAAUGCAUAUAUCUUAAAUAUCAAAGUAAUAUUAUACUUAAUAAGAAAAGUUUUAAAGACGUUUAUUUACAGCUGUUAGAAUUGAACAAUGUUAUAAACAAGAUUGAAAUAUUAUACCCAAAUGUAAAUUUCCAACAUAUAUGGAUUAACUUACAAAGGGUGAACAAUAUGUAUAUAAGAGAUUUUAUUUAUAAAGUUGUACAUAUGAUACUGCCAACAGGGGCGUGGCUCUCAAGGAGAAAAUUUUACAGGCAAACAUAUAAAUGUAGCUAUUGUAAUAAACAUGUUGAGACGUUAGAACAUCUAUUUACAAAAUGUGUUACUUUGACAUAUUUCAGAACCUUAGUUUGUAGUAUUAUACAAAAUGAAAAAAAAUGUCAAAUUUUAGUAUGAAUACAAAUACAUGUAUACUGUUUAAUAUUGAUAUAGACUUGUUUCCGUAUAUUUAUGGAUAUGUACAUAGUAUUUGGGCUUGUAGAUAUAUGCCAAUAGAAGAACACUUAUCAGAAAUACUUAUGUUAAAAUAUUAUAAAGAUGAACUUUUAUACAAACAUUUGAAUAAUAUUGUACAGUAGUUUCUUUUUGUUAAAAAUAAUAAAUUUAAAAAAAAAAAGCACAAUGAUGAGAAAGUUGACAAAAAAAAACAUCAGUAUCGACCCUAAUAUAGGUGAUUGAAAUGAUGUUUGAAAUGUGUUUUUGCUAUAGGAAUUUUAUUACAUUUAAGUUGUAAUCUAUUUUUGACUCUAUCCUUUGACUUCCUUCUUAGCAUAUGUAUUCACAACUAAACUAAACUCAAAUCUUUUAUAACCCGCUACUUUUUAUAUUUUGUUUUGUUAAAUUGUGUGCUAUUGUUUUACAUAUGAUCGUUUUUUUUUCUAUAAAGUCAACAACAAUCUGAGUGCUAUAAAAAAAAAGAAAGAAAAAAAAAUCAUCAGGGAUUAUUUUCCAACUGGUAAGUAGAAGAUGUAUAUAUGCUGGUAUUGCAAGUUGCACUAUGCGGAUGUGUAAAUACUUCAUAGACUUGUAUUAGUGAAAAUACAAUGUGUAUACUUGCUGGUGUUGCCAGUUGUAAUAUUGUGGAAGUGUAUUUAGUUAAAGUGCACUGUGUUAAACUUUACCAGUUUGGAAAAUAUUCAUUAUGUGGUAACUUAUAGGGAGUUCAGCUAUGUUUAUAUAAAUAUAUUCCUUGUGCAAUGAAGGAGAUGUGCAAGUGUAACUGUCACUUUGAUUUUGUGGUUAGUUGUAUAUUAACAAGGUGAUACUACCAAUUGGUUGACGUUUUAAAUAGAAAUUGUAUAUAUGUGAUUUUGUGUUCAUACGUUUUGUGUUAUACUUACCUUAUGCAUGUUGUGUAAUAAAAGGCCGUAUGCAUGUUGCAUAGUAAUAAAUUAGUGACAUUGUGAAUAAAUCGAUCUUAAACAUAUUACAUAGUGAUUGCAUAGUGACAGUGUGUAUAUAUAUUUUGUUAUGAUACAGUGUGUCUAUGCAUUGUGAAUGAGGUACUUCAUCUUGCAUUUUGAUUUAGGUGUAUUGUGCUGUGUAUAUAGUUUUUCGAUUUAUUGAUGUGUUGAUUGUUUUAAAGGACAACUGGUUGUGUUGAUUGUUUUAAAGGACAACUGGUUGUGGUGAAAAAAUUUAGUUGAACACUUGAAAUCCUGGUGUAUUCAGAUACGAAUCCAUUGAUUGCCCGUUUCAAGUUACACUACCUUCAGCUGAGCAAUAGGUCAAACCCACACUAUAUGGUCAGAUAUUCAAAUACCCGACAUGAACAAGUAUAAAAAAAAACAACGAAAAAACAAACGACUUGUUUUAUAAAACAAGAAAUGAAAAACAAAUGAUAGAGCAACCAACAACUUUCACUGAUUAUAAGUUAAGUUAUCAGUUGUGUUGACAAUUUGAUUUACUUAAACAAAUAAACUCUGUCUCAUAAUGAUUAUUGAAAGCUUUAAUUAUAUUUGAAUAUAUGUGACGACAAAAGAUUGGCAUAUCAAUAAAACCGAUUUUUACAUAUUAAAUGUAACCUUUUACAUUGUUUUAAUUUAAAGAAGUCCAUGUUUAUUAUACGACUAAACAUUUACAUACAUAAGAUAUCGUACAAUCAAUUAAAAAAAUAGGGUUGGUAUGUUGUGACUGUUACAUGAGACAACAUUCUGAAGUUACUAUUUGUUAUAGAAAUAACACCCUACGAGGACAACAAAUUUACAAAUACCGGUAUAAGCUAUCGUACGAUCAAUUGGGAAAAAUUAUCUUUGCAUUUAUGACCCAUUGGUGGCCUUCGGCUGUUGUCUAUCAUUUUGUCGGGUUGUUGUCCCUUUUACACAUUGCCCAUUUCCAUUUUCAAUUUUCGGUAUGUUGUGGUUGUGCAUGAGUCAACAUUCUGAUGUAACUUUGUGUUAUAGAUGGAGCGCCCUACGAUGACUAAGCAUGAACAGACUUUAGCAAUCGUACAAUCAAUGAGUACAUGUAUGUUGUGUUUGUUGCAUGAGACAACAUUCUGAUGUAAUAAUAUGUUAUAGAUAGCGCGCCUUACGACGACUAGACAUUACCAGACAUUAGCAUUCGUACAAUCAUUGAGACAAAAGGGAAGGUACAAUCAAUAGCGUAGGAUGGUCGGUAUGUUGUGACUUGUUGCAUGUGACAAAAGUCAAAAGUAACUAUAUAUCAUAGAUAGAUCGCUCUCAUUUAAUUGUUUGACAGGUCUUCAAUGAUGAACCAAAAAACAGACACACCUAAUAAAGCAAAAUGAAAACGCCUGCAUGACGGAUAGAAGUUUGAUAACAAUUACACUUAAUUGUCUUAGUAAUAAGCUCUUUUGAUUUGUACAAAAAAAAAACAAGUAACAUUCAUUAUGUCCAACCAUGAGGGUCUUUAUAAGGUAAUAUAAUAGAGACAAAUGAAUGCAAAUAAUGAAUAUAUAAAUAGUUCUAUAUUAUUAAACAUAUGUUUAUACAAUAUGUCAACGAGAUUCAACGAGAUUAAAAAUCUUAAGUCGAUCGACAACAAACACGAACCUACCAAAAAACGGCGUUGAUCUCAUGUGCUCCGGAAGAGAAGGCAGACCCUACUCCACAUUCGGCAGUCGUCGUUUUACCACUAUAUUUUUUGUCAAUACGGUUUUGAAGGUGUGAAUACGUUGUUGAUAUUCCUGAACGUCGUAAUUGAAAAGUGAGUUAAAUAAAUAACAAGUAUGCCUUAAAGUAUGGUCAUUGCUUGUCCGAAAAAAAAAACACCACUAUAAAAUCGAAGAUUAUCACAGGACACAAUCCAAAUAUUCAAAAUAAUGUCUUGGUUAAAUAAAAUUGGAACAAGGGUUCAAACAAGAUUUCAACUUUUAGUGUUGCCCUAUUUUUUUUUCAUUUACAUGUAUUGGAAAAAGAAAUUUGUGUAUAACGGCAAUUCAUAUAGUUUAGUUUUGUAUGGGUUGAAUUUGAAAAAAAAAACUUUAAAUAAGUAUGUUUCUUAAAAACAACCAAUUGUUCUAUUUUUUUUUUUGUUAACCCUUUUUCUGUAUUCAUAUUUUCAUCCAUUUUUCUCUUUUCUGUAAUCUUGAUAGAUUGACGUCAAUAUCACAGUAGGCUAUCUUAUAAACAUAUUACAUGUAAAAAUAGCUGUUCGUGGUAAAGAUUAAACGUUUAUGGUUUAUUUACAUCUUUUACAUAAAUCCUAAAUAACGGGAAAAGUAAAAAAUAAUCUAAAUUAUCAAUAUAGAAGUCGAGACCCCCUCAAGACCCCAAUACAUUAUUCAAAGUAAUCACAAUAUUGGAAGAAUACUUUAAUAAGUUCAAGUUGUAUUAAGUCUGUCAUUGACGUUUGUGUGGACUAAAAAUAUAUGAUAUUAGUACUAUUCUAUAAACCAAAUUAAGAUUCUUCCGAAAAAGAUUUAGCAGUUACCCUUGCUGUGAAGAGAACAUUUAGUGAAACUGAGAUCUGGUUCUCUCCAAAUUAAACUACCUAUAAUUGUUUUGAUGCAUUUGUGACCUCAAAUAAAGAUAUACUUUUUGUCAUCUCUUGGUAUUGCUUAUUGAAUUAAAAAUGAUAUUUAAGAGGAUUUUAAUGACAACACAAUCUUGUCUCUAAUUUUCUGUCAGGCAUGGCAGUUGUUAAUCAUACUGACAUUGUAUUAGAACUUUCCCUUCAUUAAACAGCUACACACUAGUCAAUAGACUGACAAAGAUAAAGAAAUACGUACCGGUAUGUGAAAACACUGUUCUUAAGAAUUAACAUGUUUCAAAGUUCAUAUUAAGUAAAUACUGGUAACUGAGGCAAUGGUUAAGAAAGAAUUGAAACAGUAUUGUCACGCUUCCCAAAAAUGCUUCUGGUUUGCAUGUAUUGUUUCUCACUUUUUUAUAUUUUUCUUUAAUUUACAUUNNNNNNNNNNNNNNNNNNNNNNNNNNNNNNNNNNNNNNNNNNNNNNNNNNNNNNNNNNNNNNNNNNNNNNNNNNNNNNNNNNNNNNNNNNNNNNNNNNNNNNNNNNNNNNNNNNNNNNNNNNNNNNNNNNNNNNNNNNNNNNNNNNNNNNNNNNNNNNNNNNNNNNNNNNNNNNNNNNNNNNNNNNNNNNNNNNNNNNNNNNNNNNNNNNNNNNNNNNNNNNNNNNNNNNNNNNNNNNNNNNNNNNNNNNNNNNNNNNNNNNNNNNNNNNNNNNNNNNNNNNNNNNNNNNNNNNNNNNNNNNNNNNNNNNNNNNNNNNNNNNNNNNNNNNNNNNNNNNNNNNNNNNNNNNNNNNNNNNNNNNNNNNNNNNNNNNNNNNNNNNNNNNNNNNNNNNNNNNNNNNNNNNNNNNNNNNNNNNNNNNNNNNNNNNNNNNNNNNNNNNNNNNNNNNNNNNNNNNNNNNNNNNNNNNNNNNNNNNNNNNNNNNNNNNNNNNNNNNNNNNNNNNNNNNNNNNNNNNNNNNNNNNNNNNNNNNNNNNNNNNNNNNNNNNNNNNNNNNNNNNNNNNNNNNNNNNNNNNNNNNNNNNNNNNNNNNNNNNNNNNNNNNNNNNNNNNNNNNNNNNNNNNNNNNNNNNNNNNNNNNNNNNNNNNNNNNNNNNNNNNNNNNNNNNNNNNNNNNNNNNNNNNNNNNNNNNNNNNNNNNNNNNNNNNNNNNNNNNNNNNNNNNNNNNNNNNNNNNNNNNNNNNNNNNNNNNNNNNNNNNNNNNNNNNNNNNNNNNNNNNNNNNNNNNNNNNNNNNNNNNNNNNNNNNNNNNNNNNNNNNNNNNNNNNNNNNNNNNNNNNNNNNNNNNNNNNNNNNNNNNNNNNNNNNNNNNNNNNNNNNNNNNNNNNNNNNNNNNNNNNNNNNNNNNNNNNNNNNNNNNNNNNNNNNNNNNNNNNNNNNNNNNNNNNNNNNNNNNNNNNNNNNNNNNNNNNNNNNNNNNNNNNNNNNNNNNNNNNNNNNNNNNNNNNNNNNNNNNNNNNNNNNNNNNNNNNNNNNNNNNNNNNNNNNNNNNNNNNNNNNNNNNNNNNNNNNNNNNNNNNNNNNNNNNNNNNNNNNNNNNNNNNNNNNNNNNNNNNNNNNNNNNNNNNNNNNNNNNNNNNNNNNNNNNNNNNNNNNNNNNNNNNNNNNNNNNNNNNNNNNNNNNNNNNNNNNNNNNNNNNNNNNNNNNNNNNNNNNNNNNNNNNNNNNNNNNNNNNNNNNNNNNNNNNNNNNNNNNNNNNNNNNNNNNNNNNNNNNNNNNNNNNNNNNNNNNNNNNNNNNNNNNNNNNNNNNNNNNNNNNNNNNNNNNNNNNNNNNNNNNNNNNNNNNNNNNNNNNNNNNNNNNNNNNNNNNNNNNNNNNNNNNNNNNNNNNNNNNNNNNNNNNNNNNNNNNNNNNNNNNNNNNNNNNNNNNNNNNNNNNNNNNNNNNNNNNNNNNNNNNNNNNNNNNNNNNNNNNNNNNNNNNNNNNNNNNNNNNNNNNNNNNNNNNNNNNNNNNNNNNNNNNNNNNNNNNNNNNNNNNNNNNNNNNNNNNNNNNNNNNNNNNNNNNNNNNNNNNNNNNNNNNNNNNNNNNNNNNNNNNNNNNNNNNNNNNNNNNNNNNNNNNNNNNNNNNNNNNNNNNNNNNNNNNNNNNNNNNNNNNNNNNNNNNNNNNNNNNNNNNNNNNNNNNNNNNNNNNNNNNNNNNNNNNNNNNNNNNNNNNNNNNNNNNNNNNNNNNNNNNNNNNNNNNNNNNNNNNNNNNNNNNNNNNNNNNNNNNNNNNNNNNNNNNNNNNNNNNNNNNNNNNNNNNNNNNNNNNNNNNNNNNNNNNNNNNNNNNNNNNNNNNNNNNNNNNNNNNNNNNNNNNNNNNNNNNNNNNNNNNNNNNNNNNNNNNNNNNNNNNNNNNNNNNNNNNNNNNNNNNNNNNNNNNNNNNNNNNNNNNNNNNNNNNNNNNNNNNNNNNNNNNNNNNNNNNNNNNNNNNNNNNNNNNNNNNNNNNNNNNNNNNNNNNNNNNNNNNNNNNNNNNNNNNNNNNNNNNNNNNNNNNNNNNNNNNNNNNNNNNNNNNNNNNNNNNNNNNNNNNNNNNNNNNNNNNNNNNNNNNNNNNNNNNNNNNNNNNNNNNNNNNNNNNNNNNNNNNNNNNNNNNNNNNNNNNNNNNNNNNNNNNNNNNNNNNNNNNNNNNNNNNNNNNNNNNNNNNNNNNNNNNNNNNNNNNNNNNNNNNNNNNNNNNNNNNNNNNNNNNNNNNNNNNNNNNNNNNNNNNNNNNNNNNNNNNNNNNNNNNNNNNNNNNNNNNNNNNNNNNNNNNNNNNNNNNNNNNNNNNNNNNNNNNNNNNNNNNNNNNNNNNNNNNNNNNNNNNNNNNNNNNNNNNNNNNNNNNNNNNNNNNNNNNNNNNNNNNNNNNNNNNNNNNNNNNNNNNNNNNNNNNNNNNNNNNNNNNNNNNNNNNNNGAAUUCUGAUUAAAAUGUAUUUACUAUGAAAAUAACUUUCUUUGAAUAAAAAUCUUAUGUAAUACUUUACACAAAUAGUGUUGGAUACUUGAACAGUUCAUGAUUUGUAUAAUUUUUUAUAGAAUAAGACAAGUCAUAUACACUAUCUCUAAUGUUUAAACUAUUUACAAUUUUGUCAACUUCAAAUGCCCAGCCCUUUUCUUCCUCGAUGUCCAUUUUAAUAUUUAAUGUUCUAUUUUGUUCGGUGCGAAGAAGUCCACACAGUAGCUAACAAGUUAUAUAUUCGUUGUUUUGUGUGACAAGAUGAUGUCCAUCCCAUAUCAACGCGAGUAGCUACAUUCGAGGUCAGUUUUCUACAUGAGUGAAAAUAUUUGCAGGUUCUGUUUUGUACAGCUGAAAUAGCACUUAACGAUGAGUGCCCAAAAUGCCACUACCGUAUAGUAAUAUCGGUUCCACCGUAGGUGUAUACAGUUUAGUGUACAUUUUAUGAGUCAUUCCUCCUGCUAAUAGGGAAAACGGUACUACUUAUUCUGCCAUAGGCGACAAUACUAACAUUUUCUAAAUUUACGAGUUUUUAUAACAGAAACCUGGAUAAAAAGUUAUGUGUGUGUUAGACGUUUUACUCUAUUUUAAAAAUUGAAGCAAAGUAUCAGACAUUUCCACGGGCUUGUUUAUGUAUCAUGCCACCGUCAUUUUCAACCAAAUCUAUGAAGUUUUGGAAGCUUUUCAAAUAAUCCUAGGAAAUAUUCAAUGGUUUUAAAAUUUAUAUUGUAUUUACACACUGCAUUAUUCAUAGAUAAAAAAAACUAUAUUGUAAUCCUACACCAAUCACAGCCCUCCAAGUUGACUUCUUCACCUGUCUUGGUACAACAAGGCAACUAAUGCUGGAAAAUAUAAAUUACGUUGUCCUAUACUGUGACACAAAGUAUAAAGAAUUCUUAUGACACAUCAGUGCAAUAUUGUGGAAACCUUGACUAUAAUAAAUACUUGUAUGUCCCCAUUACUUAAGGAAACAUGGAUCAUUUCAUGACUCCACCCCUACAUGCUGAUUUACCUCUUUCUCUACUUCUUUCAGAUAAGGCUUAAUAAACAACCUGCAUCUAACUAUAUCUUAACUUAUUUAAAAAUAAUGAACAGUUCCAUAUAAACAGAUAAAAAUGACAGUUCCAUUUAAUUUGUGUUCAUUUUAUCCAAAAUUUACAACAUAAGCACAAAUUCAAGAUUUAUCAUACUAAUCUCCAUUCCAUGCUUUAGUAUAUUCCAUAUUGUGGUUCAAAAUUCAGAGCUGGUUAUAAAAUCCAUUAUUCUGUCUUGAAAUGAUAAAAACAAGGAUAUUAGACACUGUAAACAUAAAAUAUGCAAAAUACUCAGCUGUAAACUUGCCUUUGUUGUCUAUAUUAAUAUAUGAAAAAUAUGAAUUAUGUCCCUUGGGAUUAUCAAUUUCCAACAAAAGUCCUUUUAAACAGUACAAAAUGACAAUUAUAUAUGCCUGAUAUAAUAAAAGAUAGAAACUACAAAAUGAAGCACUAUUGAAAUAUUUGCUGCAUGAAUUGCCAAUUGCAACAAUGUGAGCAAUUCUUUACACAGGAGAGUAUAAAUUCUGUCUAAAUUUAGCCUCUAGUGGGCCUCCUUUUUUCUUAGAUGAACGAUUUUAACAUUGAAAAUGCUUCUAGUAUGACCAAAUACUGCCUUACUAUAUAAACAGUACAAACUUAACCAGACAAUAUCCAUUUUAAUAGAUUGUGUCAAGGGAAAUACCCAAUUGAUAUAUUUAGGGAAUUACAUGGCAAAAAAGGCAAACAUUUCAGUUAAAAAUAUUUGCCGCGACUUGAAUUCUGGGUUUUCCAAUUAAAUUAAUCAUUGCGAAAGGUGAAAACAAAUAAAAAAGAACAAUAGUUUGAUGCAGGUUAUACAAUAUAGUUAAUAUUGAAACCCUAGAAUAAAGUUUUAUAUCAGUACCCAUCAACUUGACUUAUUAUGAUGACUCAGGAUUUUUCUUAACACCGUACUGUACUCAGAUAAAAAUUUCUCUGUGAUAAAAAUCAAAUGUUCUUAUCAAAUUGCUUCAAAAUAGUAUAAUAUGACUGAAGUUUGAUUGAUUGUGAUUUCCUUUGCUAUCUUGAGUAUAGCGAAAACGGUACUAUUUAUUUUGCCAUAAGCAAACAUUCCUAACAUUUCUAAAUUUACCAGUUUUUAUAACAAAAACCUGGAUAAAACAGUCAUGUGUGGUGUUAGUUCGUUAUUACUCUAUUUAAAAAUUGAAGCCAAAUAGUAUCAAGACCAAUUUCCAACGGAGCUUGUUUAUGUUAUCCAUGCCCAUCGUCAUUUUACACAAAAUAUCAAAUUUUGGAAGCCUUUUCAAAUAUUUCAAUAGGUUUUAAAAUUAUAUUGUAAUUUAUACACUGCAGUUAUUCAUAAUAAAUAUCAAAAAAUAUUACCCUUACACCCAAUCAAGCUCCUAAGUUGACUUCUUUCACCUGUCUUGGGUACACAAAAGGCCAACCUAAUGCUGGGAAAAUAUAAUAUUACCGUUGUCCCUAUACUGUGACACAAAGUAUAAAGAAUUCUUAUGACACCAUCAGUGCAAUAUUGUGGAAACCUUGACUAUAAUAAAUACUUGUAUGUCCCCAUUACUUAAAGAAACAUGGAUCAUUUCAUGACCCACCCCUACAUGCUGAUUUACCUCUUUCUCUACUUCUUUCAGAUAAGGCUUAAUAAACAACCUGUAUCCAAUCAUAUCUUAUCUUAUUUAAAAUGAAUAAUAAACAGCUACAUGUAAACAGAUACAAAUGACAGUUCCAUUUAAUUUGUGUUCAUUUUAUCCAAAAUUUACAACAUAAGCACAAAUCAAGAUUUGUCAUACUAAUUCCAUUCCAUGCUUUAGUAUAGCCAUAUGUGAUUCAAAAUUCAGAGCUGGUUAUAAAAUCCAUUAUUCUGUCUUGAAAUGAUAUAAAACAAGGAUAUUAGACACUGUAAACAUAAAAUAUGGAAAAUACUCAGCAGUUAAAGUGCCUUUGUUGUCUAUAUUAAUAUAUGAAAAAUAUGAAUUAUGUCCCUUGGGAUUAUCAAUUUCCAACAAAAGUCCUUUCAAACAGUACAAAAUGACAAUUAUAUAUGCCUGAUAUAAUAAAAGAUAGAAACUACAAAAUGAAGCACUAUUGAAAUAUUUGCUGCAUAAAUUGCCAAUUGCAACAAUGUGAGCAAUUCUUUACACAGGAGAGUAUAAAUUUUGUCUAAAUUUAGCCUCAAGUGGGCCUCCUUUUUUCUUAGAUGAACGAUUUUAACAUUGAAAAUGCUUCUAGUAUGACCAAAUACUGCCUUACUAUAUAAACAGUACAAACUUAACCAGACAAUAUCCAUUUUAAUAGAUUGUGUCAAGGGAAAUACCCAAUUGAUAUAUUUAGGGAAUUACAUAGAAAAAAAGGCAAACAUUUCAGUUAAAAAUAUUUGCAGCGACUUGAAUUCUGGGUUUCCCAAUUAAAUUAAUCAUUGCGAAAGAUGAAAACAAAUAAAAAAGAACAAUAGUUUGAUGUAGGUUAUACAAUAUAGUUAAUAUUGAAAACCUAGAAUAACGUUUUAUAUCAGUACCCAUCAACUUGACUUAUUAUGAUGACUCAGGAUUUUUCUCAACACCGUACUGUACUCAGAUAAAAAUUUCUCUGUGAUAAAAAUCAAAUGUUCUUAUCAAAUGCUUCAAAAUAGUAUAAUAUGACUGAAAUUUGAUUAAUUGUUAUUUCCUUUGCUAUCUUGAGUAUAGCGAAAACGGUACUAUUUAUUCUGCCAUAAGCAACAUUUCUAAAUUUACCAGUUUUUAUAACAAAAACCUGGAUAAAACAGUUAUGUGUGGUGUUAGAACGUUACUACUCUAUUUUAAAAAUUGAAGCCAAAUAGUAUCAUGACCAAUUUCCAACGGAGCUUAUUUAUGUUAUCCAUGCCCAUCGUCAUUUUACACAAAAUUUAUCAAAUUUUGGAAGCCUUUUCAAAUAUUUCAAUAGGUUUUAAAAUUUAUAUUGUAAAUUAACACACUGCAGUUAUUCAUAGAUAAAUAAAAAAAUAUAUUGUACCCUUACACCCAAUCACAGCCCUCCUAAGUUGACUUCCUUCACCUGUCUUGGGUACACAAAAGGACAACAUAAUGAUGGGAAAAUGUAAUAGUACCGUUUUCCCUAAUACCACUAUUGUCAUUAAACUAUCUAGAGCACGACUGGCUGCUUUAGCUAAUUCUUUUGAGUUCUUCGUAAAUGUAAGAUGUUCAUCCAUCCAGACACCAAGAUAUUUAUGAGUCACAAUAAUCGAGAUUAUUCUCCAUACAUUUAAAAUUAAAUCAGAACGAUCGAAAGACUGCGGUCGAAAAUAAACGCCUUUAUAGUUUUAUUCACACUAAUGGACAGUUUCCUUGUUGUACACCAGUCAGACACAAUAUCAAGCACGCGUUGAAAACUACUUGCAGUCGGUGCAAUUAAAGCUAUGUCGUCAGCAUAAAGCAGUAUACUGAGACAAACAUCAUCAAAGCUGUAAUCCACACACAAGGGAAUUGAUACGUUAUGAGAGGUCGUUGAUAUACACAGAAAACAAUGUCGGUGAUAUGAUUCAGCCCUGUUUCACUCCGAUAUCUACGUUGAACCAUGGGGUAUGAACAUAAUAAUUUUUUGUUCAUUUUUAUACACAAAUUAGGCCGAUAGUUUUCUCGUUUGAAUUGUUGUACAUUGUCAUUUCGGGGCCAUUUAUAGCUGACUAUGCGGUAUGAGCUUUCAUCAUUGUUCAAUGCCGUACUGUGACCUAAAGUUGUUAAUUUCUGGUUCAUUUUGGUCUCUUGUGGAGAAUUGUCCUAUUGGCAAUCUUUUUGUAUAUUUUUCUUUUUUAAUCAUUUUUUCUUUAUUCUUUUUUUUUCCCUUCGUUCAGCAUUGUUUGCUAAUUAUUCUCGAAACUCCACUCAAGACCUUCAUAUCAUGAAUAAUCAAAAAUAUUUGAAAGAAACAUAAGAUCAACUCCGAAUAAAAUCAACUUACAAAAACAAACAAUGAAAAACUCAUGGUCCCAAAUAGUUUUACUUUAAAUCACAGACACGUUUCUCAGAAUUUUGUAUCCCUAUAUACCUUAUCGGAUUGCUUUUUUCUGAGACAAGUGCUUGUGCUUUUAAUGCACUAUAUGUAGUGGAGUAAUACCAUUAACCGUCCACUACUAUUUUCGCCGAUCUUUAAAUUUUCCAAAAGUUUAAGGACAGAUAGAAAAAAAAUUGAGUGACCACUAAAUAUAAGAGAUAUUGAAAUAACUUGGUACCUAUUGAUUAGUGUUUAACUGCAGCUCUUACUCUUCAAAGUAAAAAUAAGAAGACACCAACGAUGGUCUUAAACAUCUUUAGAAUAUAUUGUCAACAUCGUUUACGGUAUCGUGUCGUUAUUAUGUUUGUUUGUGUACAUUGUAUCGUAUUUAUACCUCGUUUUUUACUAUUUUACAUAAUAGACAUUUCGAUGUUGACAAUAGCCAGACAAUAUACUGUUUAUAUUGUAUACCAAGCCUAUACAUUACUGUUUAUAUCUUUCACAUCGUAGACAUUGUGUUUAUAUUGUAUACCAAGCCUAUACAUGUACAUUAGUGUUUAUAUGUUUCACCUCGUAGACAUUGUGUUUAUAUUGUAUACCAAGCCUAUACAUUAGUGUUUAUAUCUUUCACAUGGUAGACAUUGUAUUUAUAUUGUAUACCAAGCCUUUACAUUAGUGUUUAUAUCUUUCACAUCGUAGACAUUGUGUUUAUACUGUUUACCAAGUCAAUGCAUUUGUGUUUCACAUUCUUCACGUUGUAUACCUCCGAUGCUUACAAUUGAGUGUCAAUAUCGUUGAUAUUGUAUACAAAGUCAAUACUUUUGUGUUAAUAUCGCUCACAUCGUCAACAUCGUGAUGUGAACAUUAUAACGCUACUACAUUGUAUACAUUCCGAUGAUAACGAGCUCAACAAUAUAUAACAGUUCUAGUAAUUGUUAUGUUGUUUUGUAUCGUAUCCAUACAUUGAUAUUUUACAAUUGUCUUUUUAUGUUGUAAUGUGUCACUACUGUUACAGGUUAGGGUGAAGGUUGUGUCUAUUAAAACGUUUAAACCUGCUGUAUUUGUAUGUACAUUCAUAAGUCAGGAGCCUGUUUUUCAGUCGUUGUCGUUUAGUUGUUGGUGUGGUUCAUAGUCUUUUCCAGUUUCACGCUUUUAUAUAGAUUAGACCAUUGGUUUUCUGUUUGAAUUGUUUUACACUAGUCUUUUUGUGUCACUUUAUAACUUGCUGUUCGAUGUGAAUCAAAGCUCAGUGAUAAAGGCUAUUAUACUCUGACUAUCAUUGGUUAACUUUUCAUACAAUGGGACAUGGAUGGGGAGUUGACACUCAUACCAGAUAUUAUUGUUUAUAUAUAGUAUACAUCGCGAUGGUGACAAUACCGUGUCAAUUUAGGUAAAAAUCAACCUCUAAUUUCACAUGCACAUGGGUGACUCUUUUGAAGACUGAAAAAUAAUAAGUCAAUUUUAACCUCAAUAUAACGGAUGACUUCUACACAAAUCAACGUGUGGAUUACUGGUUACAAUGCAAAUUAUUUACUGCUUUGAAUUGCAACCACGCUUCGUAUAAAUAUUCUGUACUAUUAUAACUGUGACAUGAUAUUAUAAAGUUAAAGUCCAUUCUCCUUAAAUUAGAGUUGACGAAUCUUUCAUCGUGUAAUAUCUUUAUAUCUAAUUUCUGUGCAACUAAUGACACAUACACAUCGUCAAGAAAUAUUGGUUUCAUAUAAGGAAAUGCUAUUCUCAAUUUCCGUACUACAGUUAUGUGCGUAAGAACAGAUCCACCUGAAAGAAACGGCGGUAAAAUAGGUGGCUGAUAUUCUUCCUCUGAUAUGUACCAUUUUCUAUACUUUGAUGAUUUUGAUCUCACGGGAUUUUGGGGAUUACACUGCUUAUGUCCAAACAUUACAUCUUUGCCGUCCAUUUUGUUUUCACGGGCGAAUUGUAAGAGGUUUGGUAUGGUUACAAAAUAAUCGUCGUCAACAAAAAAGACAAACUGACUAUUUGAACAGUUCGACAUAACCCAAUCAUAUGCCAUCAAUGUUUUAUAUAUAUUAUUCCUGUAUACAUCAUUAAAUGAACCUUGGACUAUAUCCUUGUAUUCAGCAUAUUCGUUCCUUGUAUGUUCAUUUAACUCGACAGAAUAUCCGAGAAGGAAGACAACUCUUACAUUUUCACCAUGACAUUUUCCCCAUGUUGAGCGAAUCGCUUGUCUUUGGUCAAAAUGUCCAAUGUAAGACUUAACUAAUAUUAUCAAUUCGGUAUGAGAUGCACAUUUCACAUUGUAUAUUGUGUUAUAUUGGUUGUAAAUAUGAUUUAUUGGUUGACUAGUUGUCGUACCGUUAUUCUCUAGCUCAUUUAGAAUAUCUUUCACAUUGUUCAGAGGAUAAUUAUAAUGAAAGUCAUAUCAACGCUGAUGUUCAGCUGGUUGCUGAUUCGUAUGUAAACAAAUCAGUAUAAAUGUAAUGAUGAAAACAACUUGGGUUAUAGUUCUUUUGCUCUUGUUAAGUUUGUUUCUGUAUGAUAUAGAAGUCAUUACUAUCUUUGUUUUAAACUACUCCACCUACAAAAAAAAACCCAAAUAUUUAUUUAUUACGACUUCUGACAAGAUAAAUACGUUAUAUUUAGGCCUAUGAAGAUUAUAUUGACCGAAGACGAAGACCAUUACUUACAUAUUUCACUGUUACAAUGUUAAUUUUGCAAAUUUGCAGAACCAAUUUUUUUUCCGGGUACAUCGCUCUAGAUCACUCAGCCACCCAGACAGAACUAACAAUUCAGCAUUCGGUGGACUAGUGUUUCUUUGUCGGUAGAAUCUAGUUGUAAUUACAUGAUAUAAUUAGGCAAGAAGAUGGAAUUGAUUGGAGAUUAGCUUAAUUAUCUAUCGUAAAGGCCCGUAAGAUAUUAGCACAACAAUGUUGCAAAUUUUAUUCUUCCUCCGCUGGAUUCGGACUCAUGUUAUUGAUAUAUCUAUUGUUACUAUACCACAUGUACUAGUCCAGCGCUCUAGACAACAACACCACCUAGACUGAACAAAAGUUUAAGCUUUCGUUGGCAAAAGUGAUUAUUUAAUAAGUACGUCUAAACAAGUGACAACUCUACGAUAACUAUCUAUGUAUAGCAACAUUGAUUCCGUGUACUGGAAAAAAAAUAAGACUUCAAGUAUAUGGAAUACAUUUGAAUCACUUGGCCAUAAUAACCAAUGAGAGAAGAAUACUGUACCAGAUAUUAAGAACUCAGUACUAAUGGUCAUAACAUCUAAAUUAUAUAAAAUCUACCAUUAUGUUUCAUUUAAUAAAAACAAAUAUAAUUAAAGAACCUUAGUGAGCAUGCUCACAUACCCCACGUCCCCACAUUGUCAUUGGAGAAAUUAAAUAAGUAUAAAAAAAAAAAUUGUAUAAGAAAAAUACUGAAUAAUAAUUUCCUGUCAAUAUACACAUCUACAUAGUAUGUCCUUAUUAUCUACAAAGUUUCAUGAAAUUCUGUUGUGUGGUUUCAGAGGAGUUGAGAUGACAAACUGUUGCAGUAGUACAUUGAAGUAAAUAAGUUCAAAGGGCGUAACUCCUAGAAAAAAAAUUGAAUCGCAAUUUCCCGUCGAUAUGCACAACUACAUAGUAUGUCCUUAUUAUCUGAAAAGGUUUCGUGAAAUUCUGUUGUGUGGUUUGAGAGGAGUUGCGAUGACAAACUGUUGCAGUAGUACAUUAAAGUAAACAAGUUCAAAGGGGCGUAACUCCUAGAAAAAAAAUUGAAUCACAAUUUCCCGUCGAUAUGCACAACUACAAGAAACAAGACGGACGGAGUGACGGACGGACGGACGGACGGGUCAAAAACAUUAUACCCUCCGCAACUUCGUUGCGUGGGGUAUAAUAAUACCCAUACAGUUUAUGUCUUAUAAACAGUUGAACUAAACGCGCAUUGUGUCUUCAAAAAACUCAUUAGUGAUGCCCAAAUUUGAGUUAAGGAUGUUCGCUACUCUGUUUGAAAAUAACACUUUUUUAAAAGACUGUUAUAAAUUGAAAGUAUAUAAAUAAAGAAACUAAAAAAGCAAAACAAAAUGGUCCGUGUGCUUGUUUUCAAGAUACAAGCCGUUGAAAAUUUGGCGGGAAAUAGUUCUCUCUAGGGCUUUCUUUUACAUAACAUUGGCACCUACUUUGUUAAAAAAAACUAUAAGAAAAUAACAAAGAGUUCAUAAGAUUAUGAAAUAUGGCUUUUUAAAUAAUAUGUAAUAAAAAUAUGAAAAGAAAAGUAGGGUUAGUGUGCGAUUUUUUUUUAAUGUUAAUACAUGGAUAAAACCAGAGGAUUCCGAAAAUCUGGCAAAAAUUCAAAAAGUAGAGGAGCAACAUCCUUAAGUAUGACAAAUAAAGGACAACAUUGAUGAGCAUAAUGGGUCAACACUUCCAAAAUACUUUUCCAAGUACAGAAAAGUAAUCUAUUAUCUUGUGAUAAAAAGGCCAUAUCAUUUGAAAAUAUUUGACAUUUUGUAAACAGUUGAUUAAUAAUUAUGAUAAUAUAAUUUCAUGUUAUCACUUUUGUCUUAGUUACUGGGCUGUUACUACUUUCGGUGCGGAAACAUCCGCCAGCAGAAGCAACAACCCAGUGGUUGUAAAUAAACUUUUCAUAUAUACCAGGAUUAUAAUUGAGUUUGUUUACAAUUUUUUCAUGACAAAAACUAAAAGUCAACCAAUUAUUACUCUCGGUCAUUUCAGCAUUCUUGUUAAUCUUAUAUUGGAUCAUGUUUUGGUAGAGUUUCUCAGUAACUGUCUAAUAUCUUGUUCGAGAUAAUAGACAAAUAAAGUAAAAAGGUAGUCAAAAUUCUCAAAGAAAGACGAUAACAAUUACAGAAGGUCAAAUUAAAUAAGAAACGAAAUUUAAGUGUUUUCCAUGAUGGUAAUAUUUUUUGACUUACUUUAAAAUAAAUUACCUGAAACCAAACAGGAUAUUCAUUCCAAGUUUUUCUGAAAUUUGUUUCUGUUGAUAAAAAAUCAAUGCACACCAAAAGACAUAAAAACUAAAAUGACCUAUGAAGCCAUGCUAAAAGACAAGUCAUAUUGAAACACUGGAAAAUACAUCUCGAAUUCGACAUGAGAGGUAUUUUCAGUACCAGAACCUGAAAAACGAGACGUUUUGAUGAUGAAAUAAUAAAUUCUGGCAGCACUUCACCAACUUUACCUUUAUAUAGGAUAUAUCUUUCCUUAUUCAUCGGGUAUUUAAGAGCUUGCAUUACAGCUACAAAUCAGACUUGAAAAAAAAGUUGAUGAACCAUAGUUGUACAAGAGAUCUUCUCGUCCAUUCUUAUUAAAGAGUGCAUCGGCAGAUAUCACUACCUUGUUGUAAAAUAUUCCGUAUCAACUUCAAAAAUUAUAAAAUUAUUGUCUUGAAGUAUAGAUUAUAGGUUCUGAUGUUGUUUAUCAUCUUAACUACGUGAUAUGGUGAUAUUUUUAUUUGCUUUUUUCACAUUUGUGUUUAUUCUAAUUUUAGUAAAUAAUAUCUUUUUGGCGUUGCUCGGAUUUUAUAAAUCCCGUCACUGUGGUGUGCUAAAGCUAUGUUUUGUAUUCUUUAUUUUCUUAUGUCCUUUGUCUCUAAAGUGUCUCCACGCAUCUUUUGUUUGUUUGUUGACAUAGUUGUUUGUUUUAUAGUGAUUAGGAUUACAACACAAUGUUACCUGUUUAGCUCCAACUUUUUACAUGUUUACUCAUUAUGUCUGUUUGUUUUGUUGUCAACGUAACUGAAUUUUAUGCAACUGUCAUGCAAGUGGGAGGUUUAGCUAGCUUUUAAAACAAGAUUUACUUCACCAUUUUCUACAUAAGGAAAUGCAUUUACAAAAUUAAGAAUAUAACAGCAGUUUUCCAUUUGCUUGAUGUGUUUGAGCUUUGGAUUUUGCCACUUGAAAAUAAUAUGGACUUUCCGAUUUGAAUUUUUCUUGGAGUAUGGUAUUUUUGUUAUUCUACUUUUUUCUACUAUAUCAAGAUUAUUUUUUUGUAACACAGUGGUGUCGACGUAAGAGAAUAUAUGCAACUGUCAUAUGAGUGUAUAACAAUAUUUAUAAAAACAACCAUGCUGUUGUCUGAUCUAUGGUCGGGUUGUUGUCUCUUUGACACCGUCCCCAUUUCCAUUCUCAAUUUUAUAUGUGACGUCAGAUGUUUUAUGAUUACUAAAUAUUUGAAAGAGAAUUGUAUAUAUUUCCCUAAGCUAUAAAACCGUUUUUGUGUUUUGUUAAGCUAGUUAUAAAAAUCAGUUUAAUCCAACAUUUUCUAAUGAGAAAAUGCCUGUACCAAUUUGGGAAUAUGACAGUUAUUUUCCAUUCGUUUGAGGUGUUUGACCUUUGUACUUUGCAAUUUUCUUUUGAAUUUUCCUUGGAGUUCGGUAAUUUUGUUUUUUAAUUUUUGGUGAGACCGGAAACAAAAUAGUUUUUUUAGACUAUUUGUGACAUUUGUUAAACCGGCAAUAACUCCUGUAAAAAGUCAUCUGCCAGUUUUGAUAUAAAUCAACAGAAGGUAUGAUAUAUUUCAACAUUCUGAAUCUUUCAUGCACUAUCAGAAUAAUGGUUUACAAGAUGAUAGACAAAAUCUUAUAAUUUAACCUCAAUUGUUUUAUCUGUAGCCAUGUUGGCAAUGUUGGUUUUCAAGUGGGAUCGUCGAACACAGUUAAGAACUCGCUACCCCAAUAAGCGUGUGGCUAAGUUUGGUUGAAUUUGAUCAAGAAGUAUCAGAGGCCAUUUGUGUAAAGGAAUGCUGAGACGGCGGACGAUGAACGCUAGCUGAUGAUUUAAGCUCAGUCAGCGGUAUACUACUGUUGCCUUUAUUAUUCAGCCCUUUUAAGAAGGAGAGCUAUAAAGAAAAAGGAGAACGAGACUCAGUAUGAAUUCCUACUUUCUAUCAUAUAUCAACUAAUGUUCCAAGAACGAGGUGUGAUCAAAUCUGUGUUAAGUUAUGGAUUUCAACAAUUAAUAAAAUACAUACCGUAUGUACAGUUAUUAAAAGAUCCUUACUGACAUGCAAAAUGUGAAAUACCUAUACGAGAAAAUCAACGACUUGAUUUAUGAAAAAAAUAAAACGAAAAUCAAAUAAGACAGCAACCAAAUACUAUCAAUAGUUAUAAGUUUUUUUGUUUGAGAUUUUGACUAUAUGUGUGUUACUAAGCAAAUAAGGUCUUGUAGUGGUUAUUUCAAUCGUUCUUUAAUGUUAGCUUUUGGAAGAUUUGACAACAAAGGCAUAUGCAUUAAAACAAAUUUUAAAUUUUAUAACAUCGAAGUAUCUUUUUGACAUUGCGAUAAGACGUGUCACGGUACUUGUCUAUCCCAAAUUCUUGUAUUUGGUUUUGAUGUUAUGUUUGUUAUUCUCGUGGGAUUUUGUCAGAUGCUUGGUCCGUUUCUGUUUGUGUUACAUUGUAGUCCUGUGUCGAUGUUUUCCUCUCAUAUUUAUGCGUUUCCCUCAGUUUUAGUCUGUUACCCCGAUUUUGUUUUUUGUCCAUGGAUUUAUGAGUUUGAACAGCGGUAUACUACUGUUGCCUUUAUUUUGGACUACUGAAAAUUUACAAAUAUUCACUAUCACAAAUCAAUUGGAAGAAUGCGUUUGUUGUGGCAUUACAGAAAACUUCAUUCUUAAUUUAACCUCGUACCUCGAUAAAUGUCACUUUUGGCAAUUGUUUUUUAUAUUUCAGAAAACUCGUUAGCUCAGCUCAUAAGAAAGAUUAUAUCAAUGACUCCCGUGAUCUUAAAUAUUGCUAUAAUUGUGUCGAAGUUCUGUUACAUGCAUAUAUGGACAUUGAGAAGUAGAAUCGGUUGGAAUAAUCAAAUUUCAGGAUACAAACCAUUCGAAGUUUUAUUAGAAACUGUCACUCUGAUUAACUAUCGUAAAUUAAGUGACUAAAUCGACUGCUUCUGUGCUCAAAGGGGUCAUAGAAAAUAGGUCAUUCAGUUAUCAAAAAAUACCAUAUAAUACAACAUAUUUUGACAAUAGUAUAUGUAAAUUUAAUAUGCUAAUAAUACUUGUAAUUUAAAAGAUGUCAGACUAUCAUGAAUAUGUUUAUUAGCCUAUGCUUGUUUUAGAUUGUCACAUGUGUCAAAUUGCAGAAUUACCAAAGAAAGCAAUUGAGCUACGAAUUAGUGAUUUUAUGCCUUAUUACCUUUAAUACAGUUGACAAACACAUUUUUUAAACUUGUCCAAUUGAAAAUCACUUAAACAUUGAAAGAUGUGUUUUAUUAGUUUAAGAUAUUGUACCAUAAAAACAACAGUGUUUACCCUUUAGGAUUACUUUUUUCCAGAGGUUAUUUCUGUAUACCCUACAAACGACCCUUUUAGUAUACAUGUACAAAUACAGGUAAACAUACAAAAUUGGGCGAUAAACUAUAUCUAGCUUCAUGUAAGCAGCCGGUUCGUUAUCGUAUUUCGAUUUUCAAUAUUACAACCGGAGUUCCGAAUUUUUGUGAUUUUACUUUUUUCGAUAUUCAAAUUUUUGACAGAAUAUAAAAAAGCAUGAUAAUCAUAGUUAAAAGGAGUUACAUACCUGUGUGUUCAGUUAGGGACUUUCUAUACUAAAUGUUUAGUAUAUGAAUUGCCUGGUACAGUUUUCAUUGUUAUUUAACGAACAAAAAUAUCUACUGUAACAUACCUGGGUUUCUUAUUUCAUAAACAAAUAUCAAUUUUUUGUGUAAAAAAAGAAAAUUGUUAUCUAGUCUUGGUAUGGAUGACUUGUGAGAUAAUCAGUGGUUUUUUAAUGUAUACUUCUCAUAUUUACCUUUUAAAAAUGUUAUAUGAGACAGUGUUUGUGCGAUCAAGCUUUACAACAGUCUCAUCUUACUAUGAAGUAGAUACAUCGACAUUGUAUAAAGGAAUACUGAUAUGCGUAAACACAUAUAUAAAAAGAUAUUACUGAUCUAGGCCAUCAACUUUUAAGUUAAUAGAAUUAUUGUCUGGUGAAAACACAAAACGGUUUUAUAGCUUAGGGAAAUAUAUACAAUUCUCUUUCAAAUAUUUAGUAAUCAUAAAACAUCUGACGUCACAUAUAAAAUUGAGAAUGGAAAUGGGGAAUGUGUCAAAGAGACAACAACCCGACCAUAGAGCAGACAACAGCAUGGUUUUUUUUAUAAAUAUUGUUAUACCUCCGCUUUAGAAAAAUGGGGAUAUAUUGUUUUCCUUUAUUUGUCCAUCCAUGCAUCUUUCAGUCCAUCCAUCCAUCCAUCUGUCAGUCCGUCCGUCCCAUGAAAGUUUUCGUCAUAUUUAUUUCAUAAACUACUUGACGAUGGAUUUCAGUAAUUUGGUUUCAGGGUUUAUAUUAGUAAGUUAUACCGUGUGAUGCGUUUUCAGAUUCGUCACUCAACACCUUCCUGUUUACCGAACACUUGUGUCAUUUUACACAUGAUAGCCAAAUUGAAAAGGAGACGGUUCAGUAAGACCCCUUUUUGGCCCCAAAAUAUAGCAGUUUUACAAAUUUGUGAAAAUGUAGUCUAUUAGCUAUUUAUUUGAAAGUAGAAUGCUUCUGCUACAUAAAUAUGGGCAGUUUUUGACAAUACAAUGUACAUAUAUUGGGUUUUAGCAUCAUUAAGUCAUGCUAAAUUACUGAAAUCUUCACAAUUUUAGCAUUUUUGUUAAAUUUAAGACGGUGUCCGUCUUACAUGAAAGUGGCCGCAUUCGUGUUCAUUCAUAAUAUUGAAAUGUAAGUUGUAUUUGAUGAUAAUACAUAACAUAUAUAUAAAAGUUGAGGAAGAACAUGGAUGCGGCCACUUUCAUUUUUGACAAAAACCAUCUUAUACGGUGCUUUUUGUCCGCAAUUUGCUUUUUGUCCGAUAAUUUUGCUUUUUGUCCGACACUUUUGCUCUUUGUCCGUUGCUUUUUGUCCGUUUUGCUUUUUGUCCGAGAAUUUUGCUUUUUGUCCAACACUUUUGCUUUUUGUCCGUUGCUUUUUGUCCGUUUUGCUUUUUGUCCGCUGAUUUUGCUUUAUGUCCGAUAUAAAAAUGUGUAUAUUUUUUGAAGGUUUCAUUUUGAACAUCAAAGCACCAUGCAAUUUUUUAUUUUUACAAAAGUAAACAUACAUAAGUGAUUGCGCAUAAUUAUUGUCAACAGAGGCAGAAAUUUUUAGUGGUAUCGUGCAUAUUUAUGAUUUUUUGCGUUCUGUGUUUAUUAGUGUGUAAGAAGUAUUCCAUAGCUCAAAUUUCAAAUUAUGCAUAUAACAUUAUUUAUAACAUAUACUGAAUGCAAUAAAACAUGCAAUGCUUUUAUUUUUUUUUCAUAAAAAAACAUACUGAUUUAUUUUUAGCCCAUCUGGCUCUAUUGACCAAAAAGGCGUUUCUAAUCACUUGGCGUCAUGCGUCCGUCGUCGUCGUCGUUGUUGACCGUUAACUUUUACCCAAAAAAUCCUCUAAAGUUACUGGGCCGAAUUUAAACAAACUUGGCAACACUCAUCAUUGGGAUAUCUCAUUAAAAAAAUAUGUCUAAUUAACUCGCCUACCAACCAAGAUGAACAACACGCCCGAAAUAGAAUAUAUGGGGUAAAAUUUAAGUUUUGUCUAUUAUUUUGAAAACCACUAAAAAUGAACAAAUCUGACAACAGCAGGAUGUUGAGCUCUACCGAUUGCCCAUACAUGUCAAAACGGUCAGAUGAUGUCCCAAAAUUGGUUUCCCUUCUCUAACUAUAGUUUGCUUCAAACCGUUGUUAUUAAACUUGAACACAAUGCUUAUUACCAAAUAACUCAGAACAAUUUUGAAUUUUGGUUGCGUCACUUUUACUGUUCUAGAGUUAUGUUCCUUUGCAAAAACUGUUGAUUUUUUUAUUUCCGUUCUUUUACUUAAAAAAAAUGGUAUGAAAUGUGCAAUGUGUAUUACUACAAACCACAGGUCAAAUUGGUGGCCUCACUUUUCCAGUUAUGCCUCUUAAUAAAUAGGGAAAAUGCUGACUUUAUCGUUUUUGCUUACUUAAGUUCGUCUCAAGCAAAUGUUACGAAACUUAUAAACAACUUACACAGAAGUUCAAUCAAGUACAAAUUUGGGUGGUGUCACUUUUGCCGUUCUUAAGUUAUGUCCCUUUCUAAAGGUAAAUGCAAGCGGAGUCAUUAUCUCUUAGCAACUGGCUUUGAAAAGUCUGUGAUUCAAUAUCGCGAAAUUAUAGCUUGAAGUUUGUAUUGGUUUGAAUGAGGGUUUGUACAGUGGAUUCCAAACAUAAAUUGAACAGAGAAAUGAAGUUUUGAAAGGGUAAUGAAUAAAGUUUCGUGCGAAUGUGAUGAAUACCUAACGGCUUUUGAUGAAUGGCAGCAAGCCAUUAAUAGAAACAUCAAUGCAGAGAAGGUGAUGUAUAAUGGCGCGAUGACCAUGCAUGCUCUACGUCGAGAAGUCGAGUUGAAAAAUAUUAUCACAUUCACGAGUUACACGAAGCUAGAUAGAAUACUAUACCAUCAAUUUUGUCAUUGCAGCAUACGGUGUUGCAGUUCCCAAUUGUCUAACCAGUAGUCUUCUUUUUGUCUACGGAGAUGUUGGAAAAGAUUAGGAUUUUAGAGCUAUGGUAUAUUCUUUUCGAUAAUGCGAACUGUCAUAGAAACGAUGGAAUUCGGGCUGAUUGAAAUGCUGGUAUAGAAUGGCGUUAGCAUUGAGUUAAUGUCUGAUCUAUGACCUGCACAUACGUUUGUUUAGCCUUCUUUCGUUUCACGACGUAUACCAAUCGCAAAGGUUGCACUCUAAUCCGUAACACAUUGAUCGAUUUACAAUUUCAGAUUCAUCGUAACUUCUGGUAAAAUUUGACUUCUUGGUCAAUAUGCUAGUUGAUUCAGCAUCUGUAAUUAAAAUAGCACAAGUUUUGGCAGCCUUUGUCUCACAUUUUGAAAUGCGACGUGUUGUACUGUGUCAUCAAAAACCAAAAUGUCUUUAAGGAGAAGAACAUGGCGUAUUAUGUGUAAUAUUGCUAUUGUCACUAGGACGAUGAUCUGAAUGAGUCGUGUUUGAGAUUGUCAUGUUGUGAUGAGGGGACACCUGCCAUAUCAGACGACACCGUGUCCAUUGUGACGUCUGUUUCGGACACUUUUUAUACUGGCGCGUCCGAGCCAGUUUCCUGUUUGCNNNNNNNNNNNNNNNNNNNNNNNNNUGUGUCCAAAAGACUCAUUCCCAUUGAUAUAGAGAUUAUUGCCCUUAAAUGGUAAUUACAUUUAUUUUCGUGUUUGCCUACUAUUUUGAAAAAUAAUAAUAGAGACAUAGCAGAAAACAUUAAUAUAUAGCAAAGUGUAUUAAGAUUUUAAAAAAAUUUAACCACAAGUGAAUGCGUUGUUCCUGCGCAGAAGAGAUCUGAAAGCAUGACCAAUAAAAGUAGACAAUAGUGGGAAUCAAAUGUUUCAAUUUUUUUUACAGAAGGAUCAGUAUAUAGCAUUCUGGAUAACUUAUCUCAUGAAGUUUAGUAAAUCCAAGCUUCUGUCCAAGUGAUGCGAUACAAAAAGCGCCAUGAUAGAUUUAAGAACAGUAAUAUCUAAAAAUAGGGUGGAAAAUAACAAACUUUUAAGUUAGACUCCGUUUUCCCUGGACAGUAAAAAGACAGUACCGUAAGAUAUUUAUAGGUGUAAACCAUACGGUAUAUGAUAGAAAUAAAUUUGGAAAUUUUUACUUUUUUACUAGAACCAAUUGUUUUUUUACUUCUGGAUGUUCUAUCUAAUGAUCGCUAGAAACAAGUCCAAGUUUUGUGUGUGUUAGAUAUACCAGUAUAGUGUAACGAAAGUAUUAAACAUUGUCAAAAAACUAUAAUUACCACAAGAGCUGUUAAAAUAAAUCUUGGAAGCAGCCGUGCCAGAAUUCGUCAAAUAAAUGAGUAGGAACCGCAUAAUGGUCUCGCACUUAAGCGACUAAAGUCGAAAUGUUUCGAACAAAAGCUAGUAACAAUCAAUUCAGAUAACUAGACUACUUAAGUUAUUAUAUAUUGGUGAACACACCUCUAAUAUAAGUGUGUGUUCAUUUUUAAUUUUUAGAUUUAUGGGGUUUUUCUGUUCUUCACUCGAGUUACAUAUAAAUUUAAUCUAUUUCCUUUUACAAGAGUCUGAGCACUAUAACGAGUACACAAAAAAAUUAAAUUAAAGGAAAAUGAGGCAGGGAUUUAAUCAAAAUUGGGGUAAUUCAGAUCUCCUAAGAAGUAUAAUUCUCACAAGCAACCUUCGCAGAGAGAUUCAAAUUUCUCAGAACCAUUUUAUAUCAUUUUCUCAUGUAUCACAAUUGAGUUAUAUCAUCUAGAUAUUUCCUAACUACAGCAAUCUUUCAAUUAUUCUGCAAAACUUCUAAAAGUUAAUAAAUGAAUUGUAUCCUGACAGUGAACAUAUAUAGUCUCCUGCAAAUUUUCAGAAUCCCUUACAUAUAGUAAAACAACUAACUUAUUUUGACUGAAGUCUUUGCCUUUAAAUAAGAAACAAUUCUGUUUACCAUAAACUCACAUAUGAGCUGAUUGAUUGCCUGCUGACUGAGAAUUUAGCUCUUCACAAUAAACCGGACUCUGUGUUGUCUGGAGAUAAUUUAAAUAUUGAGGCUGUGAUCAACCUGUUGUGUGGAAUAUCCUUGAGUGUAUAGUGAAGUAACUGAAAUGUAGAUGUAUAAAUCUGAUAGGUUCUGCACAUUUGUCAAUGGCAAUAUAAAAGAUAAAGGAUCAGUGUGGGCGAAUUAACAUACAUGUCGUUGGUUUCGGAGAAGUCAUCAAUGACCUACUAAUGCAAGUAGUCAUUAUAAUUUAAUCCUUCUUGUAGUCUGUAAUGACAUUGAUCAGACUGGAUAGGAGUUAAGAAAAAACCCUGGACCUUGGUUUCUUUUAUCUUGUGCGUUUUCUAGUUGAUCCCAAUUAUAGUAAAACCGACUGGUUAGUUGUUUCUUCUUUCAUGUCUGUAAACAAAGUGAAUUGUUUAGAAAGUCAUUUAUACGCCAAAUGUUACAAUGAUGUGUAAAACAUUUCUUCAACUUAGUUAACUUCAUAUUGUUUUUCGUUCAUAGUUUUUAACAUAAAUCAGGGCUGUUGGUUUGUUCUUCAUUUGAAUUAGUUAUUACAACCAUUCAUCAGUGACUUUAUCGUCUGGAACUAUCUAGCAUUGGCGUUUUCCUCAUUAGGUCAAGGUAAGUUAGGGGGACAUAUAAGGAUUUAACCUCUGAGUGUCAUUUGGUCAUUUAAAGUUGAAAGUUUUUUGCACUAAUGGGACAAUCAUAGACCACAUCUUCUUAUUUUGCAUUCUUUUCGCUACAUAAAAUCUGGUAUAGAAGAAGCCAUUAAUAUACUUCUUCUGAUAUUACUUCAUAAAAUUCAUAAAAACCACCAAAAAAUAUACAAUCAGGAAUUUUCUACGAUUUUGACCCAAUUGAGUGAGUCCUAUUCCAUUAUUCAUCUUAAGGUUGACCUAACUACCUUGACUUUAAUAACAUUCUAUUAAUUAUGUCUGCUGUUUGCAUUUUCAUUAAAAAAUGUUGACAUAAAUAUUUACUUUGACCCUUUGAUAACAAAUCUAAAUAUUGUCAAAAAAACUUUGAAUCCAAUCUACUUUUCUUCUGAGUCAAAAUAAUAAUUUAUUUGUGGAUACACUUAGAUCUCUGUUUGGUUAUAACAUCUUAUUUUAAUCCUUUUAUAAGAAGCAUUAUAUAUAUAUUCCAAAUCUACAAGACCAACCGUAGAUUAAAACAUAAUUAGAUGUCUGUUGUUACACAGGUAGUUUUAUCUCCUGUUAGUUGUUAAGGUUAUCCACACCUAAAACGUAACGAUUUGUUGGGUAAUAGUUAUAGAAUAACGAAUUCAGAGAAAGAUAGAGUUUAAAAUUAAAAAGAAUAUUUGCGUUUCAUCUAUACAUACCGCAUCUGCAGUUUCUCCUAUGAUUACCAAAUCCCUUGUAACUAUUUUUGCUAGUAUAACCGUUGUUUCAACAGUAUACUCUUAGGUUAUGUACUAUUUCAUUAUUUAAACUUAAAUAUUUUCUUUUAUUUGAUUUUUUCAUGCAUUAACUACCCAACCAAUUUCCUUUGAUCUUCUAUCAACUGCAUCUAAUAUUUUCAACAUCAAUUUUAUUCACUUCUGAUACCCUUGCUCGAACACAAGAAAUUUAGAAAUAGGAUCAUUUAUAAGGACCCUCCCACGUUUCAUAACUUGGUUCAGAUGGAAGCAUUCUCAACUUUUCGUUCAACCUAUUUUCCGUGCUAAAUAUACGUUCCAAAUUUUUAUUUCAUUUAUCUUUCAUUUAAUAAAAACAAAUUUCAGCACAGUUUUUAUAUGGUACUUGUAUCCUCUAAUAUCACAACCCAACUAUUCAACAAUAAAUACUUCCAUUUGAUCCCAUCAUUUACAGUAGCAUCCUUUAAUUCUUAAACUCUAGAUUUUCAUUCAAAAUCAGUGUUGAUUCUCUCUCCUUCCGCAAUUUAUUUUCUUCUUGCAGCUUGUAUGUCCAUCUUCAAGUUUAUCUGUAAUUAUAUUAAUAUUUCAUAAUUUCUAACACCAACAGACCAUACAGGUUCUGUGAAAUGUAUAAUCUUCUUGCUUUGCUUUACUGAGUUAAUACUAGUAUAUAAUUGAUCUUCGUAGUUCAUGCAAUUGUAGUUUUGCUACUGGCGGUAUGUCCUCGGGGACAAAAUGUCCACCAGCAGAGACAUCGACCAGUUAAUAAAAGAGGACGAAGAUACAAAGCGACAUUCAAACUCAUAAUCUAAAAACAACUGACAACGCAUGGCUAAAAAUGAAAAAGACAAACAGAAAAACAAUAGUACACUAUGACAAAUAGAAAACUAAAGAAUAAACAACACGAACCCCACCAAAAACUAGGGUGAUCUCAGGUCUCCGGUAAAGCAAUCCUGCUUCACAUAUGGCACCCGUUGUGUGCUAUGUGAUUAAAAUCCGGUAAAUAGUCUAAUUCGAAGGAAGGGGAUUGUAAGACGUAAGUAUCGAUAAGGAACAUGAAACGGUAUAUUCCAUAACGUCAACCAACUCGUGAUGGCGUCCUAAAUUUUACGAAGGGAUGAUUCACUUCACCAUUUGGAAUUCUUGUUUAUAGCUUCCUUGUGAGCAGUAACCCUCUAUCAGAAAUCAAUAGGAAAUGCAAGCACGGAUAUCGUAUCAAUUGGGAUAUACACCGUAUCAGUGCUGCUGGAAUGUUGCACUUAGAAAUGGAAGUUCACAAUUGGAAGCUGAAAUCAUCUCUUUUGUCGUAAAGUUUUGUACACCUUAAAUCACAAAAAUGAUCAGCAAGUGAAGAUCUACUAAAAAGUCAAAUUUUGCUGACAUAGUUAAGUAGUAGACUGUGACUCUGUAUAGGCGUUAUUGGCCUUAAAUAAGGACUUCUUUUAUCCUCUAAUGUGUUUUGAGCAAAGAUAGAAGGAAAACAAACAGCACAUCACUCAACAAUACAAGGUCAACAAAACAGAUUUUGACAUGAAUUCUAUCCUUGUUUACAAUGUUGGAGAGUGUCCUUUGUUUGUUGAAUAUGCACAUAGACCAAGGUGAUCACUAAGGCUCUUUAGAGCCUCUAGUUUAUUAUCAUUAGAAUUAUGUAUAGUUGGUUAAAAAUAACUUUUAAUACCAAUGUCGAAUACUUUACGCUUGAUAAAUUUUUCAAACAGAUGUGAAGUUCAUCGGGUUAUUUGAACGGAUGCAAUUCGAGUUCGAACGUUUUCUAACUCAUGUAUGACUUUCUUGUUUUACUUUCGGCGUGUAAAUUUAAGAUUGUGUCAUGAAUUUCACGCCCUUAUUGUAAAGAAACUUCAAUAAACAGCAGAAUAUAUGCCAGGUUUUCUAAUAACCAGUGACAAACAAUUAGGUGCAUAAUUUAAAUAUAAUUUUUCCAGGAAGCAUUUGCUCGUAGACUGUAUAUUAACCCUCUACAUUAGACCAAAUAAUCCACAAAAUCCGCAAAGGGAUCUUUUAAUGAAAGGUCAUGUCUAGUGAGACAUAAAGCAACAAACGCCCAGCCGGACCUAUGUAAUUGUCUUAAACAACUCCGACAUUGUUUCCGCGUUAGCUUUCUUAUUGACACGAGUAUCCAUUAAUGUUCAUGGUAAAACCUUGGGAGCUAUAUAUCAGUUUGCGUUGAAAUUUAAAAAUAAAUAUUUAAGUAAUUAUUGUCCUGAAUAAACAUCUCUAUGCGUUUGUGCGUUUUUGCAUUUCAGUUUGUAUUGUGAAAUUUCUUCUAUCAGCCAAAACAAACUUUAGAUUCGUCCGUUAUAAAUGUGUUUGCCAGAAAUCCAUGUAUUUUUUAUCUAAUAGCUACAAACUUAAUCAUUUUAAAGUUGCCUUAGAUGAGACUUUCCGUGACGCUGGGUUUGUAAUGUGGUACCCCGUUUUAUUUUUACAAUAUUUGAAAUCUUCAAAAGAUGCAGAUGGGAAUUGUCGGUUCUUAUGAAUGUAUUCGCAAGGAAUUAAAUUAUGACUCCUUGUGCGAUCAUCAAAAAUGAAUAUUUAGGACCCCUUGGAUUAAAGAUCUUUUAGGACAACGGAUUUGAAAGUUCACUUAAACAUACAUUGUAUAUCUUUAAACAUAAGAUUAAUGAACAUGGCACAAAGAAGUCUUGUCGAAAAUAUGAUUAUAAUAGGACACAAACGGAGAAAGAUUUGCUAACCCUUCCAGAAAACCAUAAAUCAUCACGUUUUUUACAGGGUUAAUAUUGCUCAGAUUUAAUUUUUCAAUGUUGUGUUUGCUGUGUUUUGUGGACUAUUGAGCAAUGUUGAGUGUCUUGUUGAUUUUCAUUUUAGCUGUGGCUUUGUUGGUUUGUUUCUACCCGAUGUUUUUAGUGGGAUUGUCCCUUUGGUAUCUUUCGCCUCUUUCUUAUAUAUAUGAUAUCACAACUAUUAUAUAUAUGUAAGCGUUCAGAUACAUUUAUAUGGAUACACUGUUGAAUUAAAAUGGAUCUAAUAAUUAGAUGAGUGAAAAAAAGUAUGAAGAAAUAGAAAAAAAGGGGACAUACUAGUAAAUAGGAGAAGUAAAAGGCAAGAUAUAAGGAUAUGUGUACUUGUGUGGAAUUGGCAUUCUUAAGUGUUUUAUACAACAAGGAAUAUUUAAGAUUGUUAUAUAGAAGAACGCUUAUUCAUUCUGGUCGCAAGUUAGUUUGUCAUCCUUAAACGUAUUGUUUUUGAAAUUCUAAAUAUGUUUUACCGCGCUAAAUAUUAUAAAUGAAAACCAUACAAAUAAGUCAGGAACGGAGUUUCAACCUGUAACUUAGUACCGUAGUUGUUGUUUGUUUCUGUAUACUAUCAUAUUUGUUUGUAGUAUACAGUUUUGUAAAUCAAUCAAGCCGUUGUUUUUUUCUCGUAUGAAUUGUUAAAAUACCAUUAUGGUAAAUGGUGUCAGAGUUUGCUGCAUAUGGAUGUGCGUACAUUUACGACAUUAUAUAGCUUAUAUGCACAGCCGUCUGUCCGUCGCUCCAAAACAUUUUGCAACAUUUUAGUUUAAAAAUAAAACUUUUUUAAAGUCCAGUAAUAAUUUCGUCAUUUUUUCAACAACUUCAUUUUUUUCUAAACAUUACAAACAUUACAAAUAUAAUAAACAAUGCUGUAACUUUUGGAACACUAUCGCAAAAUUCAAGGAAUACAUGUGUAGCUAUUUAUUUUGAUAAACUGUAUCAAUCUUUAAAUUUUGGAAAUUUCUAGCCACUAUUUCCAAAUGGCGUACCGUUAAGACGUUCGAGGCUGUUCAAGGAAUAAGGAAACUUUGAUUAACACAACAGCAUUGUCAGCAGAGUAUUUAAUUGUUGCUUGACAAACUCGAAAAGAGAUGGGAAAGUAAAAAAAAAGGCUACUUAGCAUUUACUUAAUUUUUAUAACGAAAUAGAUGUGCACAAUAUCUCAUGUACACAUAGUGCAUUUCUAAAUGAUAAAACACUUUUUUAAUAGAAAUAUUUGAAAUAAAUACAUCAACAAUGUUUAUUAUACGCCCGUCAAAAUUUUGAAGGGACUUAUUAUGGUAUACAAAUAUCCGGUAUCCGUCCGUCUGUUCGUCUGUCUGUCCGUCUGUCCGUCUGUCCGGCGUAAACAUGUCGCACCUUAACUUGAGAACGACUUAUCCAAAUUUCAUGAAACUUAAUGUAAUUGUUUCUUAUGAUGAUCAAAUGAUCUGUAUACUUUUUGGUGAAAAUAAGAUUUAAACUUUUUGAGUUACGGCACUUUAUGACUAAAACAGGGGGGUGUUUUUUCACAUGUCGCACUGUAUCUCAAAAACGAUUCUUGAUUAUGACUUAAAACUUUAAACACUUCUUAGAUAUAUUAAUCUCAAUAUCUGUAUACUUUUCGGUGAUGAUUCAAAAUUUCAUUUUUGAGUUAUUGAGUAUUUGUAAAAAAGGAGGAGGGUUUUUUUACAUGUCGCGCCAUAUCACAAAAACGAUUUAUGAUUAUUGCUUAAAACUUUACACAUGUUUUUGUUAUAUUAAUAUAAAGAUCUGUAUACUUUUUGGUGAUGAUUCAAAAUUUCAUUUUUGAGUUAUUAGUAUUUUGUAAAAAAGGGGGAGUUUUUUUUACAUGUGCCGUAUCUCCUAAACGAUUUAUGAUUAUUGCUUAAAACUUUACACACCUCUUUGUUAUAUCAAUCUAAUCUAAAGAUCUUUAUACUUUUUGGUGAUGAUUCAAAAUUUUAUUUUUUAGUUAUUGAGUAUUUUGUAAAACAGGGGAGGUUUUUUUUACAUGUCUCGCCGUAUCUCAAAAAUAAUUUAUGAUUAUUGCUUUAAACUUUACACACUUCUUUGUUAUAUUAAUCAAAAGAUCUGUAUACUUUUUGGUUUUAAUUUAAAAUUUUAUUUUAGUAAUAUUUACUUUUUUGUAAAAAAAAAAAGCAGGGUGGGGGUUUUCACAUGUCCCGCCGUGUCUCAAAAACAAUAUAUGGUUAUUGCUUAAAACUUUCUCAGAAACUAUUUAUGAUUAUUGCAUAAGACUUCCACACAAGAUGUCGGGCGUAUCAUGCGCUCAUGGCACAGCUGUUUAUUUUUAAAAUUGGUCACGUCUGUAGGGCGUUAAAAGUAAAAGUUAUUGUAUUUUUUUCCUCUUCACUGAAAUGCGAUACUCAUAAAAUCCGUAAAUGUUAUUAAGUUUUCGGAUAUUUCUUAUAUUUUCUUAUAUAAUUCAUCGGAAUAUGCAUGUACUUACCAAAGAUAGAUGACUGUAUCCCCAGUUAUUAGUCCCGAAAAAGAAAGAGAAAUAAAUCAAAUCUGAAACAGACCUCGCUUACCCAGACGGUUGAAUUUAAGAAAUUAAUAUGUGAUACAAGUGGAAAAUAUCAAUGAAUUAAAAAAAAGUAUUAUAAUAAAAAAAAAAGUUAUAGCUUAGUCGUUAUGACGACUUAAGAAUAAAACUUCAUUCAAAUAAAAACCAAAAUCUGCUAAUUUUUUUUUAAAUUACCAAUAAAGGGGCAGCAACCCCAAAAAUUGUUAUCCGAUUUGUCGACAAAAAAAUCAGCAGAUAGAUCUUAACUUGAUGAACAUUUUUACUCCUUGUCAGAUCUGCUCUGAAUGCUUUGGUUUCAGAGAUAUAAGCCAAAAUCUACAUUUUACCCCAAAGUUUUAUUUUUGGUCAUCUUGAUUAUUUGGCGGGGUCAUCGGAUACAUUUUUGAAACUAGAUACCUUAAUGAUGAUUGUGCCAGUAGUUUCAUAGGAGAAUAUUUUUUUAAAAUUGUCGUCGACGACGGAUGCCUAGUGAUGAGUAAAUCUCAGUUACUCCUCUGGUCCAGGUGUGUUAAAACAGCAAAACGGACAAAAAGCAACAGACAAAAAGCAAAAGUGUCGGACAAAAAGCAUAAUUAUCGGACAAAAAGCGAAACGGACAAAAACACGGACAAAAGCAAAAGUGGCGGACAAAAGAAAAUUCUCGGGCAAAAAGCAAAACGAACAAAAGCAACGGACAAAGAGCAAAAGUGUCGGACAAAAAGCAAAAUUAUCGGACAAAAAGCAAAAGCGGACAAAAAACACUGUAUCAGCAUCUGAAAAAUGACGAUUGUUUGCAUAUUUGAUAGAUUUUUCCUAUUUAAACUUGAAUAGGAGCGUUUUUAUUGACUUGACUUAAUCAGUUAAAAUCUUUCACACAAAUUAAUUGAAUCAAUUGAAAUAGACACUUAUUAAUAAGUGUUUAAAAAGUGUCCAAAAUAUUUCGUUAGAUCAACUUGAAAUUUGAGGCCGAAAUCGGCCCUAAAGCUGGGGUCACACAUUCACGAGUUUUACUGCCGUCUUUGAUAGGACCAUUCCCGAUUAAAAUUUAUUAAAAGUCUGAUCAAGAUCCUAUGAAUCGUGGAUGGAUAUUCAAACUUUAAUCAAAAUUUGUAAAAAAAAAAAAUUAAUCACGACAACAAUCAGAUAUUGUUCAGGAAGCGUCGAUAUUCAACCGUUUCCAAGCGAAUUUACCCCGAUAAUCCCGUUCUAAAUCCGCUUCUAAUCCGAUUUGUAUCUUUCGCCAGGUAUAAUUCGACCGAGUCUUUCACGACUGCGUCCCGAUCCUACCGAAUGUAAUCCGACAGAGAUCAGAUAGUGACAAGACAGUGAACAGACGCUGACGGAAGUUAUCCGUUCGAAAACUGUCGGCAUACUCGGGAUGAUCAGGUACUGUCGGAACGUUAUCCUAUCACGGUCCGCUCUAUUGCAUUGCAAACGGCAUUGUCUGGUCUCAGUCGUAUUGUAUUCUGUAAUUUUCGGGACUCUGACGUGGGUAUCAUUGACGAAUUUAGAAUUAAUAACGGGACUGUUUCGGAACGGUUUCGGCAAAAACGGUUAGCAAUCGACAAGAUCUGGAUGCAAUCUGACCUCAAUCGGCAGAAAAACAGCAAUGAAAAAUUUCUCCAGAUCAUUCCCGUUCCACAGGACACCGUCCCGAAUACACAGAACAUUGUUAGGAAUUCGAUCCGAUACAGCAGAAUCUGUCACGACAUAGGCACGAUUGUAAUCCGACUAGACAAAAUCUGUCGGGGUGCUUUGCCGAACUAUUCGGACCCUUCCCGACCAGAACGAAUCUGUUCCAGAUAAUUGAGGAUACUAAUCCGACUUUUUCACUUUUCGUGUCGUAUUGCUGUCUGAUCUCAAACGGGAUCAAUAAUCGGCAAUGUGUGAACCCCGCAUUUCCGGACCUACUCCUUUUCGUCACAUUUAUGAUAACCAAGUUAAAACCUUUCGUCACAUUUUUUUCGAAAAACUGCUAUACAAAGAUUUCUGAAAUUUUGUUUCAGGGUUUAUUUAGAAAGUCAGAUAUACCGUAUGAUGGGUUUUCCGAUUCAUCACUCAACAACUUCCUGUUUACUGAAAUAUUUCGGCGGGGGUAUCAUCAGUGAGCAGUAACUCGCAGUUGUUUUAAUAUUGUUUGUAAUAUGCCAUAUGUAUACACUGUGUUUCAGUACACUGAUGAGCUGUAAGCAUAAAUUUGAAUUUCAAUUUGUACCUAGAACGUAAAAACCAAGUGUUACCGUGUAGGUCUUUCAGUUAAAGUUCCAACUAGUAUUCUUUAUUGUGCAUAUGGCUGUUUAACAAUAAAACUUCAUGUACAUCAUUCCAUCAAGUAUUAAAAAAAAAGAUGUGGUAUGAUUGCCAAUGAGACAACUGUCCACAAGAGACCAAAAUGACACAGACAUUAAUAACUAUAAGUCACCGUACGGCCGUCAACAAUGAGCAAAGCCCAUACCGCAUAGUCAGCUAUAAAAGGUCCCGAUAAGACAAUAUAAACAAUUCAAACAAGAAAACUAACGGCCGUAUUUAUAUAAAAAAAAAAUACUUUGACCAACAUUAAUUAACUUUUCAUACAUUAGGACAUGGAUGGAGAGUUGUCUCAUUGCCACUCAUACCAGAUAUUAUUGUUCAUAUAGUAUGAUGGUGACAGUACCGAGUAUAUAAAAGAAUUAUACCUAUUUAACUUACCACUGGUUAUGCAGAGUUUAAUAAACGUUUAUCGACUAAUUAAACUCAACGUCUUAAAAUCCUUGGCCAAAAUAGGGUGGGACUGACCGUGCAAGACCUCCAUAGGUAGACAAUGACGUUAGAAACCAGCCUAAUCGUAGAUUGAAGAAAGGGAUCAGCUUGGGGAAAAACCAGCGAAAUACGAUUAAUUACAAUUUCAGGGAAUCUAAUUUCCUUGGUUUGAUUAUCUCCGGUCAGUAAUAAAACACGGAAUAUGAGUGGAACUAAAAAUCUGUCCAAAACCGGGAAAUGUUGGCUUCAAAACUUAUUUAUUUACAAAAUAAGUCCAAAUCUCAUUUACUUAUCCUGAAGUUAUAGUGGUCUUAUUGAUUGUCAAUAGAUGUCGUUUUGUUUUUGGCUUCGAUUUAACGUGACUAAAAAAAGGGGUAGGGGGAUUUAAAAGCUUAACUUUCGGUCUUUUUUCUAGCCAAACAUACGUUUUAUUCUCUAGCCAACGCUCUAUCAUAUUUCAAGUGUCACACUCUAACAUUUUUAUCAUUGUUUCAUGUAAGUCCACUAUGUAUCUCGUCUUGAAUAUGUAUGACAUGUUUGCCACUGGACAUUAUAGCAGCAAUAAGAUAAUCAACUUCAUUUAAUAAUGCAUGAUUAUUAGUCUUCCGUUGAUAAUUGUCUCAAACAGUUUUAUAUAUUUGAUUGUUAAACGAGGAAUUCCUUAGAAAAGACAUUUAUUAAUUUACAUUACAUGUAAAAGAUGAAAUACGUCUAUAAUCGGGAAUCCUACAUUUGUAUUUGACAUUAUUUGUUAAACUAAAAACUGAUUCAGAAGAUUGAAAACAAAAUGAAGAUUUAUUCAUUUGUUAAUAAUAGUACGUCUCUCUUAAACUUGGCAGCUUAUCUUUCCAACAUUGAAAUGUCUCAAAAUUCUUAAUUCGAUAUGCAUUUACUAAACUAUUUUUUUUCGAAUUGCGGCAUUAACUAAUCCUGGCCCAUAGCCAGCUAAUUGAGAGUGGUGCAGUGGCGUCAUCUUAAAGUGUCUUGUACCACCAUGCGCCACCCUUUCGUGUACUCUCAUGUACUCUUAUCCUUAGUCUAUGACCACUAUUUGACAUACCGGUAUUUAAUAAGUCUACCAAAGGCCUGAAACUCCUCUUAUUUCAGAUUAUACAUCUCAUAAAAUAAUAUCAACUUUCACUGUACUCUUACUUAUACAAUAAAAUGAUUCGUGAUUCGCCGAACGCUGCCUGGUACGACAGCACAGGCACAUAAAUGAACAGUUGGAGCAAGUUUGGACACACUUUCCCAGCUUGAUUCAGUCGGAAUUGGGAUUGUGAUAAGAUUUGUGACAAUAUUGGUUUCUUACAUAAAAUAUAUGUGUUGAAAGAUAUUCAAAAUUUGAAAUGGAUAAUUUAAUUUCCUUAGUAUGGUCUGAUAUAAAAAAUCUAUUAACAUGGUUAGAUUCAGCAUAUCUAUCGACAACCACGUUAAUAUAGUCUUCUGGCUAUAACAGGCACAUACAAAUGAGUCGGGGUUAAACAUAUUUGUGAAGGUUCAAUCAUGCCGCUCACGUUGUUUUCAAGUAUGCAUUGAUUGUAAUAUAAGGGAUUCAAUAAGAACAGAAACAUUCAUUCCAAACAAUAUUAGACAAACUUAUGCGAGUUCAGUAUGUGGUACAAAAAUAAGAAAUUAGUUAUUCAGUUUAUACAUUAUUUUUUUUAAACCAUGUACCAAAACGCUUGUGAUAGUCUAGCCAUCACAAUCAGGCGUUUGAGUAUAUGGUGGGAUGGAAAUAAAACAUAAAUGUAUGACAACUUAUAUUUCAAUGUUUGACCUUAAACAGAUACCUAAGAAUGAACACAUAAUUUAUCAUCAAAUAAGUACAAUGUAUGAAUAAAGAUUUCUUGUUGUUACGUCGUAUACACAGUUUAUUGCAUAUAACUAUCGUUUAACAAAAUGUCGUAAGGCAACAAAUACAAGCUUCUUCUAAUCUAUCCGUUCAUACGUCUUUCAUUCUUACUUAUAUCCCCAUUCCGUGAUAACUUAAAUAUAGAAAAAGUGCAAUUAAACUCUAGUUUCUGAAACUGUUAACGUUACACUUUUUACCUGAGGUAAAAUGUUUGAAGAAUUCGAUAGGUUGUUCAUUUUUACAAAAAAUUCGUUGUAAUUGUCAAAAGCUGUUGGCGUUGCUUUUCUUUAUCGAUCUUUCUGGAUAUUGAGCGUCGUCUGUUGUACCCUUUACUCUGUCAAUCUUGCCUAAUAUAUAAUUGAGCGUCAAUUAUGGUACUAUUUUCUCUAACGAUAUUCCUGAAUAUUGAGCGUCUUUUGUUGUACUCUUUACUUUUUCGAUCUUUCUGAAUAUUGAUCGAUGUAUGCGCUGCUAGUUUCUCUGUCGAUCUUCCUGAAUAUUGAGCGUCGUUUGCUGUUAUUUUUACACAAUCGAUCUUCCUAAAUAUUGAGCGUCGACUAUGCUACUCUUUACUUUAACGAUGUUCCUGGAUAUUGAACGUCGUCUGUUGUACUCUUUACUGUAACGAUCUUUGUGAAUAUUUAGCGUCGUUCGAUGUUGUCUUUACUCAAAUGAUCUUUCUGGAUAUUGAGCGUCGUUUGUUGUACUCUUUUAGUUUGUUGUCGUCUUGGUUUGUAUACUUUAACUGCCAGCGUUAAAUACAAUACAAGUAAAGACAAGAGUACUCCAAUUGAAAGGCCUGAAAAAACAGAAACAAAUAAAAUUAAAAACCAAUUGUUCAGAGAACAAUUGAAGGUCUUUCCACCAAAACAAUGUAUUUUAAUAUGAAAGGUGUAAAAAUAGGUUUAAAAAUGUCAUUUCAAUCGUCAAAUGAUAGCUUAUUGUACGCUGAUUCCAAAAAUAUAUGGUUUCUAAACAAUAUUUUUUUAGAUAAGGGAGAUAAUUUCUUACUUCCGGUUUGAAAAACUCUAUUUCCGAUAAUAUUUGACUAUUUACUUGACACUGAUUCCAAAAAUAUCUUGUUUUUUAUACUUUUAUGUAAUAAAUACUUCCGGUUUACACAAGGUCACUUCGAGUUGUUUUUUUAAGUUUAAAUGGUUUGAUACCGUUUGUCAAAAAGUCUCAUGACUUUAUUAUGUAUACAGAUGGGGUAAAAGCAAAGGUCAAAAUCUAGAAGAUCAAAUUAAGCUAUGACCUUGUGAUCAAUUUCAAGGUCAUUAACCAAGAACCUCAAAUCAAAAGACCAUAGGUCUUAAUUAUGUUUAGUUAAUGAGUUAUAUCACCAAACGCGUAUUUUUAAAUACCAAAGGGGAGAAAACUCCCUUCCACAUUCAACGUACCCUUGCAAUCAAAAUUUACGUGUUGCGACAUGUCACAACAAACGAUUUAGAACAAAUAAUUUGUCAAUAUCUUAAACGUUUUUUGGAAAUGAGUGGAAAUGAGCCAUAUUCAAAAAUUAGAAUAUGACCUUGACCUUUGACCUUGACCUAAUUUUCAUUUUUUUGGACCAAGGACCUCAAAUCAAAAGAUCCUAGGUCUCUAUCAAUUAUGGUUUACCAGUUAGAAAUGCAAUUCACUUAUAUCAAAUGAAUAAGGGGAAAUAACUCUCGUAUGGAGCAUUCAUAUCACUUCGGUCAAAAUAGGACAAAUCAUGCAAAGGAUAUAACGAGCAAUUUUGUAAAAUAAAUUUGUCAUAAUAUUUUACGUUUGCGAAGGAGUUGCGCUCACAAGGAAAACAGUGUUUGGGGAGAUUACUCCUACAAAGAAAAGUUUUCGGUUACGCAGGGUAAAUUUCAAAAGCGCAUCAAUUGUUCGAUAUCAUAUACCAAAUAUCUAAGCGACAUAUUGCAAAACAAAUGUUUAUCGCAAGAACAAAAUUAGGCGGAAGAAAAAAAAAAAAAAAUUGAAGAAGUCUUUCCAUCCUUUUUGAUAUGAAAAAGUUGUGAAACUAAGUUUAAAAUGUCAUUUCAAUUGUCAAAUUAUAGCUCCUAGUAAGCUGAUUCCAAAAAUAUAUUGUUUCCAUACAUUUUUUUUUUAAAUAAGGGAGAUAAUUUGUUACUUCCGGUUUGAAAAAUGUUACUUCCGAUUAUAUUUAAAUAUUUACUUGAAACCGAUUCCAAAAAUAUCUGGUUCUAUAUACUUUUAUAUUAAUAAAGUACAAAAAAUAGCUACUUCCGGUUUACAAAAGGUCACUUCCGGUUGUUUUUUUUCAAGGUUAAAUGGCUUGAUACCUUUUUCUAAAAGUUGUAUAUCUUUAUCAUGUAUACAUAUAGAAUAAAAGCAAAGGUCAAAAUAUAGAACGUCAAAUUAAGCUAUGACCUUGAGAUCAAUUUCAAGGUCAUAAACCAAGGACCUCAAAUCAAAAGACCAUAGGUCUUAAUUAUAUUUAGUUAAUGAGUUAUAUCACCAAACGCGUAUUUUUUAAUACAAGAGGGGAGAAAACUCCCUUUCACAUUCAACGUACGCUUGCAAUCAAAAUUUACAUCUUACGACAUGUCGCAACUAACAAUUUAGUAAAAAUAAUUUGUUGAUAUCUUAUACAGUCUUUGGAUAUAAGUGAAAAUAAGCCAAAUUCAAAUAUUAAAAUAUGACCUUGACCUUUGACCUUGACCUAAUUUUCAUUUUUUUUGGACCAAGGACCUCAAAUCAAAAGAUCCUAGGUCUCUAUCACUUAUGGUUUAUAAGAUAGAAAUUCAUAUCACACUUAUAUCAGAUGCAUAAGGGGAAAUAACUCUCAUAUGGAGCGGUCAUAUCGCUUCGGUCAAAAUAGGACAAAUCAUGCGAAGGAUAUAACAAGCAAUUUUGUAAAAUAAAUUUGUCAUAAUCUUUUACGGUUGCGAAGGAGAUGCGCUAACAAGGAAAACAGUGUUUGGGGAGAUAACUCCUACAAAGAAAAGUAUUUCGUUUACGCAGGGUAAAUUUCAAAAGCGCAUAAACUGUUCGAUAUCAUAUACCAAAUAUCUAAGCGACAUAUUGCGAAACAAAUGUUUAUCGCAAGAACAAAAUUAGGCGGAAGAAAAAAAAAAAAUUAAAAACCAAUUGUUCAGAGAACAAUUGAAGGUCUUUCCAUCAAAACAAUGUAUUUUGAUAUGAAAAGUUGUGAAACUAAGUUUAAAAUGUCAUUUCAAUCGUCAAUGAUAGCUUCUAGUAAGCUGAUUCCAAAAAUAUAUUGUUUCCAUACAUUUUUUUUAAAUAAGGGAGAUAAUUUGUUACUUCCAGUUUGAAAAAUGUUACUUCCGAUUAUAUUUGAAUAUUUACUUGAAAACUGAUUCCAAAAAUAUCUGGUUCUAUAUACUUUUUAUAUUAAUAAAGUACAAAAAAUAGCUACUUCCGGUUACAAAAAGUCACUUCCGGUUGUUUUUUUCAAGGUUAAAUGGUUUGAUACCUUUUUCUAAAAGUUGUAUAUCUUUAUCAUGUAUACAUAUAGAAUAAAAGCAUAGGUCAAAAUCUAGAACGUCAAAUUAAGCUAUGACCUUGAGAUCAAUUUCAAGGUCAUAAACCAAGGACCUCAAAUCAAAAGACCAUAGGCCUUAAUUAUAUUUAGUUAAUGAGUUAUAUCACCAAACGCGUAUUUUUAAAUACAAGAGGGGAGAAAACUCCCUUUUACAUUCAACGUACGCUUGCAUUCAAAAUUUACAUCUUACGACAUGUCGCAACUAACAAUUUAGUAAAAAUAAUUUGUUGAUAUCUUAUACAGUCUUUGGAUAUAAGUGAAAAUAAGCCAAAUUCAAAUAUUAGAAUAUGACCUUGACCUUUGACCUUGACCUAAUUUUCAUUUUUUGGGACCAAGGACCUCAAAUCAAAAGAUCCUAGAUCUCUAUCACUUAUGGUUUAUAAGAUAGAAAUUCAUAUCACUUAUAUCAGAUGCAUAAGGGGAAAUAACUCUCAUAUGGAGCGGUCAUAUUGCUUCGGUCAAAAUAGGACAAAUCAUGCGAAGGAUAUAACGAGCAAUUUUGUAAAAUAAAUUUGUCAUAAUCUUUAACGGUUGCGAAGGAAGAUGCGAUAAACAAGGAAAACAGUGUUUGGGGAGAUAACUCCUACAAAGAAAAGUAUUUGUUUACGCAGGGUAAAUUUCAAAAAGCGCAUAAACUGUUCGAUAUCAUAUACAAAAAUAUCUAAGCGACAUUUGCGAAACAAAUGUUUAUCGCAAGAACAAAAUUAGGCGGAAGAAAAAAAAAAAUAAAUCAGAAGAAAAACAAUAGGUCUUUCCACAGAAAAGUGGAAAGACCUAAUAAUAAUAAUAAUUAAAGUUCAAUUCUUCUUGAAUAAUUGAUAGGUCUUUCCUUCCAUUUUCUUUUAAUUAUACUGUCAUAAAUAAAUAUAUCAUAUAUAUUGAUUGAUUAAUUUAUUGAUUAGUUGGUUGGUUGGUUGGUUGGUUGGUUGAUUGGUUUAUUAAUUAAACACUUGAUAUAGGGUCUCUUGAAACAAGCGAAAAAAAAGAGACCUUGGAUUCCGUAUUAAACACAUGAAACGGAAACAUGCAUUGAUUGAUUGGUUGGCUGGUUAAACACGUUGGUUGGUUAGUUAAAUACGUUUGUUAAACAUGUUGGUUAAACACGUUGGUUAAACAUGUUGGUUAAACACGUUGGUUGGAUAGGCUCAAUUAAAACAAGCGAAAAAAAACCUUGGAUCCCGUAUGAAACACAUGAAACGUGACAUGCAUUGAUUGAUUGGUUGGUUGGUUAAACACGUUGGUUGGUUAGUUAAACACGUUGGUUAAACACGUUGGUUAAACACGUUGGUUAAACACGUUGGUUGGAUAGGCUCAAUUAAAACAAGCGGAAAAAAAAACCUUGGAUCCCGUAUGAAACACAUGAAACGUGAAACAUGCAUUGAUUGAUUGAUUGAUUGAUUGGUUGGUUAAACACGUUGGUUGGUUAAACACGUUGGUUGGUUAAACAUGUUGGUUGGUUAAACACGUUGAUUGGUUAAACACCUUGAUAGGCUCAAUUAAAACAAGCGGAAAAAAAAACUUGGAUCCCGUAUGAAACACAUGAAACAUAAACAUGCAUUGAUUGAUUGAUUGAUUGGUUGGUUGGUUGGUUAAACAUGUUGGUUUAACACGUUGUUUAAACACGUUGGUUAAACACGUUGGUUGGAUAGGCUCAAUUAAAACAAGCGAAAAAAAAAACCUUGGAUCCCGUAUGAAACACAUGAAACGGACAUGCAUUGAUUGAUUGGUUGGUUGGUUAAACACGUUGGUUGGUUAGUUAAACACGUUGGAAACACGUUGGUUUAACACGUUGGUUUUAAAACACGUUGGUUAAACACGUUGGUUGGAUAGGCUCAAUUAAAACAAGCGGGAAAAAAAACCUUGGAUCCCGUAUGAAACACAUGAAACGGACAUGCAUUGAUUGAUUGGUUGGUUGGUUAAACACGUUGGUUGGUUAGUUAAACACGUUGGUUAAACAUGUUGGUUAAACACGUUGGUUAAACACGUUGGUUGGAUAGGCUGAAUUAAAACAAGCGAAAAAAAAACCUUGGAUCCCGUAUGAAACACAUGAAACGGAAACAUGCAUUGAUUGAUUGGUUGGUUGGUUAAACACGUUGGUUGGUUAGUUAAACAUGUUGGUUAAACAUGUUGGUUAAACACGUUGGUUAAACACGUUGAUUGAUUAAACACGUUGGAAAAGGGUCAAUUGAAACACAUGAAACGUGACAUGCAUUGAUUGAUUGGUUGGUUGGUUGGUUAAACACGUUGGUUGGUUAGUUAAACACGUUGGUUUAACACGUUGGUUAAACAUGUUGGUUAAACACGUUGGUAUAAACACGUUGAUGUUAAACACGUUGAGAAGGCUCAAUUAAAACAAGCGAAAAAAAACCUUGGAUCCCGUAUGAAACACAUGAAACGGAAACAUGCAUUGAUUGAUUGGUUAGUUAAACACGUUGGUUGGUUAGUUAAACACGUUGUUUAAACAUGUUGGUUUAACACGUUGGUUAAACACGUUGGUUAAACACGUUGGUUGGAUAGGCUGAAUUAAAACAAGCGAAAAAAAACAACAUUGGAUCCCGUAUUAAACACAUGAAACGGAAACAUGCAUUGAUUGAUUGAUUGGUUGUUGGUGUGUUGGUUGGUUAAACACGUUGGUUGGUUGGUUGGUUAAACACGUUGGUUAAACACGUUGGUUAAACACGUUGGAAAGUGUCAAUUAAAACAAGCGAAAAAAAGAGACCUUGGAAUCCCGUAUCAAACACAUGAAACGGAAACAUUGCUUUGAUUGAUUGAUUGAUUGAUUGAUUGAUUGAUUGAUUGAUUGAUUGAUUGAUUGAUUGAUUGAUUGGUUGGUUGAUUGAUUGAUUGAUUGAUUGAUUGAAUGAUUGAUUGAUUGAUUGAUUGGUUGGAAUUCAAACACACAUAAAACUGUUUAAAUAGUGCCAAAAAACACAUAAUUUGAUGACCUUGACCUUUGACCUUGUGACCUUCGUACCUUCGUCAAGGUCAUUGCUCCACAAGGUCAUUGCAAAAGACCGUAUGGGUCAAGGACCUUUUGUUAAAGAGUUUUGCCUAAAUAUGGCUUUUUAAAAAAACCAUGAAUGGGAGUUAUGUCCCUUACAUGAUGGUAAAAUCAGUAUAGUCAUAAUGUAAAAAAGUUGCCCCUUGAAGUACCAAUCAUUUUUCAACUGCUUAAAUUUUUCUGUAUCUAUAACCGUUCAAGAGUUAUAGGAAAAUCAAAGACUUUUGAAAAUCUAAAAUAUGACCUUGACCUUUGACCUUGACCUAUAUUUUCUAAGUUUUGGUCCAAUGAACUCAAAUCUGAAGACAUUCCGGCAGUCUUUAUGACUUAACGGUUCAUGAGUUUAUAAUGCAUAUACCGACAAAUUUAAAUAUUCCGUAAGGGGAAAUAACUCCUAUAAAAGGUCACUGGAAUCGCUUCGGUUAAAGUUAUUUGAAGUUGUAACUUUUGGCAAGGAACAUUUGUAAAAAAAACCAUUUGUCGCUAAGUCUUAUAGUUUAUGAGAAGUAGUGAUACACAGUGUUUUUUGUAAUUGGGGAGAUAACUCCUAUAGGUAAACAGUAAACCUUGGUUAUUCUAAUAGCAAGAUAGAUAAUUAUAAAGCCUCCGAUACAUGAUACCAAAGAUCAUUUGGAUAUGUUGCGUACUUUUCUUGAUUUUUGACUUUGAAAACGGACGAGGAAAAAGAAUAAUAAUAAUAAAUAUAAAUCAAUUGCUUUCAAAAAGCAAUUGUAAACAGUCUUUCCCCCUUAGAAACAUGAUUGUUUGUUGUUGUGUGUGUGGUGGUGGUUUGUUUGUUUGUUUGUUUGUUUGUUUGUUUUUGUUUGUUUGUUUGUUUCUGUAAGGUCUAUAUUAUUAUGUUACCGGAGAAGUUUCAUGUUUAGUUUGGAAAGUUUUUUAUUUUAUUUUAGAUACAGCGCGCGCGCAAUAUUGAGGAGACAUCACGUGACACGGGUUUAUAAUAACGAAAAGAUAGUCUUUUAAUUUCUUUUUAGGUCGGGACCUUGAACAGACAACAUGUCUAGAGAUGGAAUGUACACAAUGUAAUUUCUUUUGUCAUUGUAGGAGGAAAUAGACAUUUUGAUCACAGUUCACCAGCAGUGCAUGUUUUUGGAUUUAAUUGAUCCGGUGUAACUUUAAUACACAUUUAAUGAUUAUUUUUGAUAAUGUCCAUUUUUUUCAGCACCAGUUUGUAACACAGAUUAGUAUUUCAAUCUCGGAGCGGACAUUUUAUUGUAGGUUUUUACUGAGAUUGACGGACCUAGCAAGCGAUUUUUACAGCAUUGCGAUUUUUUUUCUCUAGGAAAAGUCUUGAGAGAUAUCUGCAAAAGGUUGUUUUUAUGAACCUUUAGUACAUGUAUGCCCUGCUGACUGUAAAGUUUGGGGUCGAUUGGACUUGUAGUUUCAGAGUUCAACUGAUAACAAACAUGUGGAUUUUUUUUUCAGAAGAGAUGUAAGAACAAUAUUAAAACCAAUUUUCAGAGAACCAUUGAUGGUUUUCCACCACUUACAACAUAUUUUGAUGUAAAAAUAUUAAAAAUUCAGAUGAUAUGUCAGUUUCUAUGACUUUAUGAUAUCUAAAUAUGAAUUUGGAGCAAAGGUCAAAAUCUAGAACGUCCAAUUAACCUAUGACCUUGACCUCAAUUUCAAGGUCACAGAUUAAGGAUCUCAAACCUAAAGACACUAGUUCCUUAAUAUGUACGGUUCAUGAGUAAUGUAACUUUACGCAUAAUUCUAAACAUAAGAGGGGCGAAAACUCCCAUUUAUUGUCUACGCACCCUUUCAACAAAAUUUAAUAAGUUACUACAUGUCGCAACUAACAAUUUAUUAAAAAUAAUUUGGCGAUAAGUUAUACGGCUUUUGAAAAUAAGUGAAAAUAAGCCAAAAUCAAAAUUUAUAAUAUGACCUUGACCUUUGACCUUGACCUUAUUUUCAUUUUUUUGGACCAAGGAUCUCAAAUCAAAAGACCCUAGGUCUCUAUCACUUGUGGUUUACCAGUUAGAAAUGCAUAUUCUUAUAUCAAACAUAAAAGGGGGGAUAACUCUCAUAUGGAUUCUAUAUACGGCUUCGUCAAAAGAAAACAGCACAUCCUGAGGUAUAACGAGCAUUUGAAAAAUAAAUUUGUCGUUUCUUAUACGGUUGCGAAGCCUUAGAGAUAACAAGGAAAAACGUGUUCGGGGAUAACUCUUAUUUGGGAAAGUAUUCGGUUAAGCAGAGUUGGUUUCAAAAGCAUAUAAAUUGUUCGAUAUCAUAUUCCAAAAAUCUAAGCGACAUCUUGUGAAACAAAAAAACAGCGAAGGAAAAAAAUUAGGCGGAAGAAAAAAAAAAAAAAAUAAUAAUAAUAAUCAGAAGAAAUCCAAUAGGUCUUUCCACGGAAAAGUGGAAAGACCUAAUAAUCAGAAGAAAAACAAUAGGUCUUUCCACAGAAAAGUGGAAAGACCUAAUUAUUUUCAGGCUGAUUUAUUUAACAACAUCAAUAUUAUCUUUUUUUUUAUUUCUGACAUACAUAUAUAUAAAUGAUAACAAAUAUUAAUUAAUAUAAUAUCAUCAAAUAAGUAAACAAUAACCUUAGUAAUAAGAUUUUAUUAAUGACAAUGCUAAUUAAAAUAAUAUAUUCACAUUAAUUGUUCUCUGUCCUUUUGGUCGCGUGGAUAGUGUGAGUCUGGUACAUUUACAAUGGUAUUUUAGUGAAUGAAUCGGGUCUUGUGAAAAUAAUGUGGACCUUUUUGGCUUCAAUUUGUUUCGAAAAUUAAAAAACGAUCAAGUUUAAUAUUUAUUAAUAAGUGCAAUAAACAAUAUGUAUAAGUCCCGAGGUCCGAUGGUACCGAGGGCUGAUUUUGGUCGAGUGUUUAUCAUAUAUUUUGACAGAAUCAGAUUCAUGGAAUAUCCGGUGGUUUUUUUGGUUUUUUUUUAAUCGUCCGAAAAUAUAAGCAAGUAAGGAAAUUAUAAUUUUCCUGUAUUUUUCCAGCUGACUUUUUUUUACAGACUUCCUUAUUUACUGAAUAUCCAAAUCGUUAUGUCCCCUAUAUCCUAAUUACAUUCUCAAUAUAUUUAAAAAAAAUAAGUUGUAUUUUUGCUAUUCUAUUUUUACAUUUGUUUUAGACAUGUAUUAUUGUUACUAAUAAUAGAAAAAGGAGAUAAAAUAAAUAUUUGAGCAGAGCUUUCAAAAUUGACACUUAAAUCAACUUUACAUAUUGUUCCAUCCUAAAAAAAAAAUAUUUUAGAAACUUUUACCGUACCGAUUUCGAGAAAUUUUGAUUGAUAAUGUCAAGGUCAUAGUUACUUAGUAGAGACUUGAUAUCACAGUUUUGUUUUUUUUUUUGGUAUAGUUCAUUUUAAUCUUAAACAAAUUUACCAUACUUCAUAUACACUUAUAAUUAGAAUAAACUCUGAUAUCUAUAACGUGUAAAGUUCAAAAGGUGAAAGGUCGAGGUCACCUUUGGAGCUAAAAUAAGUCAAUAAUCUCCAUUUUGCCAAAUUUUCAAAAAUAUAUCUGCCUAUUGAACCCAUAAUCUUUAUAACCUUUGUUAAUAGUGACCAUUUGAUGAUAUUCAAAAGAUCAAAGCAGGGUUUUAACCUUUAGGGGUCAACAGGUCAAAGGUCAAGUAAUUUUAGGAGCUAGAAUUAGACAGUGACCUCCUUGUUUGACUAAAUUUUUUAAAAGUAAACUUACCUUUAGGUAUUAUGAUCUUUAAUUACAUUUGUUAUUUAUGAUAAUUUUAUGAUAUGCAGUAGAAAAAGGAUUAGUUUCAACCUUGAUGUCCAAAGGUCAAGGGUCAAAAUAAUUUUCGGACCUGAAAUAAGAUAAAUCUCUCCUUUUUGCUAUUUUUUUCAAAUGACUUCUCACUUAUAUUAUCUGAGAAAUUAGCAAAACUUUAAAAGAUUUACAAGUAUAAAUAAUUCGUGAAAAUCAAGCCAAGAUCGGAAUACACUUUCCAAAUGGACAUACACACUUUACCACACUUAUUACAUACCAGAAUAUGGUUCACAUGUCCUAAUGUAUCUGAAAAACAUACCAAAAUAGGGGAAACUAACAUUUAACAAUGAACCAUGAAAAUGAAGGCAAGGUAAGAUGACAUCUGCCAGACAUAUAUAUACACCUUACAAAUAUUAUAUAAACAAAUUAAAUAUAGUUUACCUAUUACUAACUAGUUAUUGAAAAAAGUCCAAACAAGAAAAAAAAUGUUCAAUAAACCAUGAAAAUGAGAGAAGGAUCAAUCAUACAAUACAACACAUAUAGCAGACAUAUUCCUUUUUGAAUCUGAUAUAUGGACAUAAAUUUGUUCACUGAUACAUGAAAUGUGCUUAAUGUGAAGUGAAAACUGUUUUACAGACAUGCAGACAUGCUUGCUGGAUAAUGAAAACCAGAAAUGUGGGAAAACUGCACCCAAGUUAAAAUCCCAUCAUUAUUCUAACUGCAACACUGACAUAUAUAUCAUAUCGUAAUUAUUUUUUUUAUGCAUUACAGUCUUCGAAAUCUGCUAUCUACAACCAUACACUAUAAUGAUUUUUUUUUCAAAAAUUCAAAAAUCGUUUCUUCUUUAAAUAGACACGGUAAAAUUCAUGUUCUAAAUAGCCAGUUUUGUGUACACUUAAACCACACAAGGCUUACAAUAUCUAUCGACUGAAUGUUGACAACAAUUUAUUUAAAUUUGAUAUGAACAUUAAGUUUUAUCAAUGGGAACGAAAUUGUGUUUAGUUUACAUGUGAAUAUAAUAUAUGUAUUUAGUUUACAUGCAAUGCAUGCUCGUAUAUAGAUAUCCUCGUAUUCAUAAGAGAGAAUUAACAUUACAAAACAUUAAAACAAAAUUGCUGCGAGUUUCAAAUAUCUGUAAUGCGGCAACAACUUUUCGCUUUAGUCUGAGGUUGGUCAAAUCCCAAAUAAUUUCUGUUAUGUCUUCAGCUCCUGAUGAUAUUGGAGCUUUAGAUACCACCUAACAUGAAAACUGGCUCCCAGUUUCAUGUUCUACAACGACUAUAUGUGUGAUAUGAGGGAUAAAAUCUUGCCUAACAUGAAGUAAAAAAGAAAAUUCAUUGCGAAUUUACUUUUAAAUUAAGCAUUCUCAAGAGAAAAAAAAAUCAUUAUAGUGUAUGGUUGUAGAUAGCAGAUUUCGAAGACUGUAAUGCAUAAAAAAAUUAAUUAUGAUAUAAUAUAUAUGUCAGUGUUGCAGUUAGAAUAAUGAUGGGAUUUUAACUUGGGUGCAGUUUUCCUACAUUUCAGGUUUUCAUUAUCCAGCAAGCAAUGACUACCAAACACUAAGGGCUGUUCCAAAAAUAAAUGUAGGGGGGGGGCUGUCGGAAGACACUUUUAUUUAACCCAACCAUGCAUAAAUUUUUAAUUCGACAUAAAUUUCCUUUAAAUGACCAAGCACUACAUGUAUAACCAUAACCAAUCAAACUUGAAUAAAGUUAAAGUUAUGUAGGUAGCAUGACAAAAUCUCGAGUAACAUGACAUAGUUGGUGACAGAAAAGAAUUUGUUUCCUAAACAAUUCCUUUAUUUCAUAGUUUCAGAAAAACAAUCAUUUAAAAUUGGUCACAACUGGAAGAUAACAGCAAACAAUGUCAUUAAUCUUUUAAAACUUUAUUUUCAAGAUGAAAAAUCUGCCUAGGUAAUGAAAAAAUCAAAAAUAAAUUCAUUUCUGUUACCAUCUACUUUACUAGAAUUUCACAAUGGUCUGUGCUGUUAUCAAAAGUAAAAAGCUGUCUUUUCAUUCAAAAUAUUGUAUAUUAUGUUGGGAUUUAUUACAUUGUAUGAUAAUAACUCAUAUUAAUGCAAUGGUUGACAUAUAGGAGAUUAACUUUGUAUUACAUCGGAUAAAUUGUCUUUUAAGGAGGCUCGUGGGUAUACAAAAUAAGCAAAUUUUUAAACUUUUUUUUCAUCACAAAUUAUAAUUAUUACACUAUUUCUAUAUAUGUAGUUGUUAUUUUAUGAUAUGGUAAAAAAUCAACCCCCAGAAAAAAACAGUUAAAGGUAUCACCAGCCAAAUAGUCAACACUGUGGUGUUAAAAUGAAUAUCAAUAAUUUGUUCAUUUUUUAAAAUUUCCUGUUUACAAAACUUUUAAUUUUUCGAAAAAAUAAGGAUUGUUUUUUUAUCCCAGGCAUACAUUACCUUAGCCGGAUUUGACACAACUUUUGGGAAUUUUGGAUCCUCAAUGCUCUUUAACUUUGUACUUGUUUGGCUUUGUAAAUAUUGUUAUAUGAGCGUCACUGAUGAGUCUUAUGUAGACGAAACGCGCGUCUUGCGUACUAAAUUAUAAUCCUGGUACCUUUGAUAAUUAUUUGGCCGUGAAUUACUUUUAAAAUGUUUAUAUCAUUGAAAAAAGCUGAAAAUUAUCACCAUAAAGUAAAAAAUUGCCAUUUUUUGGCACCAAAAUUGUUUUUUUUUAACUAAUCGGUGACCUUUAUAUUUUUAUUACGUUUCUCAAAUAAGCUGUACUUUAACUUAACUAUUGUAAAAUUUAAGCGAUUUCUGUAAUUGAAAAAUGCAUUCUUCUUUUACCAUUGUUCACAGGCAGUUUGUGAGUUUAAAUAAACUGUGAUAUUAUAUCUUUAUUUUCUUUUUUCUAUUCGGUAUAGGAUAAAGUUAAUUUAUAGACGAAAAUCACCCCUUGGAACAAAAAGUAUUUUUCUUUAAUUUUCAAAAUUUUAUUACAGGCUUUAGUUAUAAUAAAAACUGACAAGUCAGGAAUAAGUUUCUCAUAUGAUCUUAAAAUUUGUAAAAAUUGGAAGCCUGUUCACCUAAUUUGAAUAUUAUUAUUUAGUUGUCAGAAAACAACAUGAUUUUUAAGUGGGAUGAACAUUCAAAUAAUAUUUUAUUGUAAGAAAUAUAAGGAAGAGUGUACAGUUGGCAAUAGUUGGUGCAAUUUACUCUAGUUAAAACUGAAACAUAAAAUUUUCUAAAAAGAUGGUUAAAUAAAAAAAACAAAUUGAUGGUGAAAGAUGGAAACCAGGAAAAUAGACUUUUUUUAGGUAUUUUCUCUCUUAUUUUAAAAUACUAUCAAUGUAAAUUUGAAUAUUCCCACCAACUAUUAGUUUCUAUAAUGGUCACAUGAUUAACAACCUUCCUAGUUGAAAGCCAACAGGACCGUAUGCACUAAGGUAAACAAACGUAUUUUUUAAAUGUUUAUAAGAGUAAUUAUGAAAACAAAUCAAGUUAGACAUUCUGAAUGAUUUAUUUGUAAAUAUUGACCGGCCAAUAUGAAUACGUAUUUACUAUUAAAAAAAUCAGCUUUCGUUUUUGUUAUGUAAGCUAUGUGGUCUAUUGUUAUUGUGUGUAUUUGUGAUAUAAUUGAUUAAAGUACAUACUGCAUUCCUCGCGUUUUUUACAUUUGGUUAUGUGGGGUGCUUUUUAGCUUAUUUUAUGCUAUGGAUAUUUAAUUGACCAUUUUUGAAACUCACACGAUGACCCUCGUCAUUUGGUGGAUGGUCAGUGUCAAACAAAAAUUUAUGUUUGUAUUUUUAUUUUAAAUUAAUAAUGUCCUUGUUUUGGUCAGUGUUUAUUCAUCGACUUAAGCCGUGUUCACAUCGACCUAAACUCAGUGUUGUGUUAGUAUUAUUCACAUGUAAACUAAACACAAUUUCGUUCCCAUUGAUAAAACUCAAUGUUCAUAUCAAAUUUAAAUAAAUUGUUGUCAACAUUCAGUCGAUAGAUAUUGUAAGCCUUGUGUGGUUUAAGUGUACACAAAACUGGCUAUAUAGAACAUGAAUUUACCGUGUCUAUUUAAAGAAGAAACGAUUUUUUAAUUUAUUUGAUAUUUAUCGCUUCUGUGUGUGUUGAAUUGUUUUUUUUUUUUUGUUGUUGUUGCACUUUAGUGUUUCUUUGUUUUCCUUUUCUAUUUUAUGUAUUUCCCGAAAUGUUAGUUUAUGACCCGGAGUUGGUUUCUCUCAAUCGGUUUGUGACUUUCAAACACCGGUUUACUACUGUUGCCUUUAUUGAAUUAAAUUAUUUACAGUAUAAUUUGUCUUAACUUGAUAUAUUGCUUUUAUUAGAAAAUAAAACCAAAGAUAGCUAGCCUUAUUAACCCGUUAUCAAGACCCGAAGCAUAAUUGUUGCCAAACAUAAUUCAUUUGAAAAGGUCUUCCCUUAUAGACGUCAUUUAAAUGUUUGCCACUGGUCUUUACACAAUAAUUGAUUUACUUAUACAUUUUGUAAAUGCAUUAAUUAAAAGAGUGUGCGGUAAAUUGUUUUGUUUGGCUAGUAUCUCAUAUCCGGUAAAAUGUACUUAGAAUAAAAAAGCAUUUAUUUGCAAUGUACGAACUAUUAUUUUAAAGCCAAAGUCGUAGUAUUUAUUUUUUUCUGAAUCAAUUUUUUUUUCGCGCGAACCAUUUAUUCAGUGAAACACAACACUGAAUUACACGUUUGCGCGACAAAAAGUUUCGUCUCUAUCAAUCAUUUUUUUCUUCAGUAUUUGGGAGUUGAAUGGUGGUUUCAUUAAUUCUAGAAAAAUUGUCCAGAAAUUUGCGUUCGACUUUAUGUACUGAUAUUUAAAUGACGUAUAGUUUACAAGUGUAAGCAAAUCUAACGUACAGGUAAUCAACCCAGCUGUAUAGAUGUGAACAAGUUUAAUGUGAAACCAGUGUACAUUACAUUCAUUACAUUUAUCCAAUUACAAUAUAAAAAAGAAGAUGUUGUAUGAUUGCCAAUGAGACAACUAUCCACAAAAGACCAAAAUGACACAGACAUUAACAACUAUAGGUCACCAUACGGAAUUCAACAAUGAGCAAAGCCCAUACCGCAUAGUCAGCUAUAAAAGGCCCCGAUAAGACAAUGUAAAACAAUUCAAACGACAAAACUAACGGCCUUAUUUAUGUAAAAAAAAAUGAAAAACAAAUAUGUAACACAUAAACAAAAGACAACCACUGAAUUACAGGCUCCUGACUUGGGACAGGCACAUACAUAAAUAAUGUGGCCGGGUUUAACGUGUUAGUGGGAUCCCAACCCUCCCCCUAACCUGGGACAGUGGUAUAACUGUUAACAUGUUUACUGUACAUGGCGUUCGGUGUGAACACGGUCUUAUUCGGGUCACAGUAUUUGUGAUUAAAACUAAAACAAAAUUAUAAUCAGAAACAAAUAAUUACUGACGGAUUUAGGUAGGAACGUAGAGUGGGUAAAGGAAUAAUUUUUUAUGACAUUUUCGUCACCACUACAAACAAUUAUGGCCCCGGUCCCCCAUUUUUCUCGAGCCUUUAUCUUCCCCGACAGUGUAUUUACAUACAUGUUUAUUAACAAUAUGUACAUAUACAAUAUAUGUAUGUUGUCGGAAAAUAUACAAUUUAUUUGUAUGAGCUUUAAAAACAGGACGAAAAGCGAGGCUCUGUCGAGCUUUUGUCCUGAAUCGUAGCGAGUACAAAUGUAUUUUAUAUUUGCCGGCAAUGUACAUAUAUUGUUUUAACCUGAAAUUACUCCCAACACUUGAAUCUGUAGUUAUUAAAAUCAAAAUCAUUGUCUUUAAUGUUUCGAAGAAAUCGACAUCGUUGAAACGCUGAUGGCGAAGAGAACCCCAAAAUGAACUUGUUUGAAAACAGAAAUGUUCAUAUUGCCACUUGCUCAGCAUGUAAUUGGGGUCACAGGAGACUUUUAUUUGUACAAUUACUAAUAAAGCAAACAUUUAUUUGUAUACCUGUUAUUUGUACAUAAGAUGGCUAAUUGCAGGAAAAACAGCGGUAGUGUUGCCAGGGAGAAAACUAUUUGUAAAGGUGUACGGCUCAAAUAUAUUCAAUGAGGACAUAUGAGUUGAGAAGUUAUUUUUGUUUUCCGCAAAUUUUGGAAACCUUUUCAGAACAGUUAUAUGAAACACGUUUUACGCAGACUAAAAUCAUUUGCUAUCGAUCCUGGCCGACCGAAAUAUUAUUUAAAUAAUUAAUUUAUCAAAAGCAGAACUCCUUGUCGAAUUAAACUCCGAAUCUUGAAUAGCAAACAUGUUUUAAGAGGAAAUAAGAUACCACUAAAUUGUAAACGCCUUUGAUGUUAACAAUUCUCUUCUUGACUCUAGAGCUUGGCCCGAGUAAAAGUUCACCAGGACUAACACAUCAUAAACCUUAGAUCGAAAAUAGGGAGAAAAAUGUUGAGGACAUCAAACAACAAUUGUUUUAUGUCUUGAUUGGGAAAGAUGGACCGACUUGUAAGAGAAAUAAUUAUUAUUGAAGGUUCAACGAAAUUUUUUAGUGGUAACAAGUGGUAUAAAUCGUAUGAUCCUAAACCUUUGAACUCAUUGACGUGUAACUUGAUAAGGAUCGAGAUUAAUAUUACUAUAAACUUGUUUUGAGAUGAACUUGAAUAUUGAUAUAGCUAUUUUGAGUAUUUUAACAAAUUAGUCUGAAAACAAAAACGUUUACAGCCUUAUAACAAUGCAAAUAGGUAAGACAGAAUACAAAACUAUCAUUACCUAAUUAGUAUCAGCCUAAUGUCUAACAAACAACUGUUGCAUGGUUUUUGGUACAUGCAGGUUUGAAUUACUUUUUUAUUUUGGAACCCAAGGGCACAAAAUGUUACCGAUAAUUUGGGAACUUUUAAAAAGGUAAAACUUUAAACAGGUCAUUUUGUAGACCGAAAAAGGUCUUCUGAACAAGAUAUAUAUAGCCUUAAUUAUAUUUGCAUCAAUAAUAUUUUGCAGUUUUGUGAUAUGGCCUCAUCCUCCCAAAAUUGUGGUGUGUGUGACCUCCGACACAUCAACAAACCAUCCAUAAUCUGGUGUACGGAAUGUGAUGAAGGGCUUUGUCAAGAAUGUCAGGAUCACCAUAGUUUGUCCAAGGGAUCCAGAAACCAUAAUACCAUAGCAAUCACGGAAUACCAAACAUUACCUAGUGAUGUACUACAAAUCACUCAAUACUGUAACAUACACAAAGAAAAAUUUAUAUUCGAAACUCAUAAAGAAUGCCGGGAUAUCGACAAUUUAGAAGACGUCAUUCAAAAUGUAAAAACCUCGAAUGCCUUCUACGAUAUUGAAGAAACAUUGGUUGAAGUAGCAGAAAAUUUAAAAGAAAAUCUGUCAACAUCAGCAGAAAAGUCUGUUGAAUUUGAAAGAAAAAAGGAAACAAAUCGAAAAUGAAAUUGAAAAGACUCGAACAACAAUCAACAACCAUCUGGACAAAUUACAAGAAGAUUUGAUAAAACAACUUAAUGCUAUUGAGGAAACCCAAGACUCGAAAAUUUGUCAGUUGUUGUCUUCACUUGAACAGAGAGAAAAAGAAAUAACCAAGUACAGGGAAAACUUUGCUAGCAUUAAACAACACGCCUCAGAACUACAGAUUUUUCUUUCAUUAAAGCAACUAGAAGAAGACAUUGAUAUCGAAGAUAAAUUCCUACAAUCCGCAGUGAAAGGUGAGGAAUUGAAGCAAUGUCAUCUAGAAUAUAGAACCAACAUUGCUAUUCAGAAUAUCAUGUCCAAUAUCAAAAGUUUCGGAGAAGUACAGAUUAAAACUAAACCAUGUGACAUCGUUCUUAGCAGGAAGAAGACCAAACAAGCACAGAUAAUGGUACCAACCGUUCAAACAAGAUCCAUUGAGAACAUAAAACUGAAGAAAAACAAGACAAUAACAACUGAAGGUAACAACGUUUACGGGUGUUGCAUAAUUCCAGAUGGUAGAAUGGCGUUUACUUACUACUAUGCUCAUGCAGUUAGAGUAUUCAGUGAUACAGGAUUAAAAGACUUUGAGGUGAAGAUGCCAAAUUACGUACAAGAUAUACUGUAUAUAAGUAAGGACAAUACAUUAGCCGUAUCAUCUGGUGGUUCCAGUAAUAAUUGUAUUACCAUUAUAAACGUGGAAAGAAAACAAAUCACAAAAACAAUUUCAAUCAAUUCGCGUAUAGAUGGCAUAGCACUGAAAGAAAAUAAAUUAAUAUAUUCCGGUCA